GACAAAAGCUACUAUGCUCUGGACCCUUCCAGACCUCACUAGAUUUACCUCCUCAUCUGGCUCUUCAUUUGUGGUACUUUUAAUGCACCAGUAAUGGUAAGUAAAGUGUUUUUUGGAGUUUUAUGACCACUCUAGCAAAUUACUGAACCUGAAGUGAGGGGAGGACCCUCCCACCUCAGACUUUAUAGCCAAGUUGGACAGAAGUGUGUGUAACCUAGGGACCUUGAUUUGUGGGACUGAGCACUAAAAAUUCUGAUGCUAACUCCUGGUUGUUAUUAUCAGAAUUAAUUGAAUUAUGGGACUUCGAGUUUGUGUCAGAAUUGGUUGGUGUUAGAAGGAAAAACACUUCUCACUUGAUGUCAGAGGUGGCUUGAGUAAACACAGCUCAAGCAUACUUAGGAGAGGCAUUGAGUUAAAGGCCAGGAAAACUGGAGGGAGGUAAAGAAGUAAUAGGUUGAUGGGAAGUGUGUUCAGUUGUAGCUAAGGAAGUUAAGGCAAUAAAAUAAAAAAGUAGUCACAUCAGAUGCUUUAGAAUCUAAAUCUAUAAAUUCUUGGCCCUGGGCAGGAAAUUCUUUUUAUUGUAGCUUCUGUACAUUUCCAGUGGGUGGGGGCAUUGAUCAUUUAUAUGUGGCUAGAAUAGGAAAAAGAGACUUGACUGGUCCAGUUAAUCUUUUUCCUGGUUAGACAGUAUAUCCAUUGGAAGGGUGCUUAAAAGAUUGGAAAUGUGAUUGCCCAUGUGACUUUGGGGCUAAAAGUAUGUUGUUGUCUGAGGUCCUCCUUGGGUCGCUAAUAGCCAAAGAGAAAAUAUAGUUUGCACAUUGCUGUAUGCUGGAUAUAAAUGCAAUCAAGCUGGUAAUGAAGAAUUUGCAUAUACAAAGGUAGGAGAGGACAUUGAAGCAAGGAGACACUUUCUGAACCUCUGUUGCCAACCGAGAAGAGUUAGCCUAAGAUUGAAGAAGUGCAUAUCUGAGGUCAAGGACAAGGCGGGCAGUGCUCAAUGUCAUCCUUUAGAACAGAGGGCAGGAAUCCCAUCUGGAGAGUGGAGGCAACUGAAAGAGAGGUAUGGUCGUGUUGUCAUAUAUUAAGGACCUCUAUUCAGGUUUCCUUGAACUCAUACUCUUAUCGUAGUUGUUUGUCUUUUUGCCAUUUUUCUGAUUGUAUAAGGCUGAAGCUUUUUAUUUUAAAAAAUUUGCAUCUUUGGAUAGUCAUUCUGUAUAAAACGAAGGCAGUGCAUUACCUAUAAUUUUCACGUUGGGUUAUUUAAAAGUGCAGAAAUUUAAGACACUUACAAAGCAAUCUGAGUGUAGAAUCCUAGAUUUGAAUUAUUUUUUCUGUAACUGUCCACAGUCUAACAUUGCCCAUAUCUAAUUUGUUCAUAGUUUUAGUGAUUCAUCUUUAUCAAAUCUUUGCAAAGCGUUGUACUUACUUUCUUGGAUACGAUAAUCCUUUCUGCACUCAUAUUUCAUCAGAUUGUGAAUAAUAUAAUUAAACUAUAUAAUUACUAUAACAAGAAGAAAUGGUAAUAAGUGUGGGAACAAAACAACCCCUCUUGGUGAGUGUGAAGCUCAGGGGUGGGAAGAAGAGCAGGUGCAGACUAGAGAGUAGCCUGUACAGGGUGCUGCAUGUUCCACAAGGGAGUGGAGAGCCUUGACUAAUGGAGUAUCAGCAAGAGAGCUGCUCCUGAUGCUUGCAGUCUUUCCAGUUCCUCUAUUCCUGUGCUUCCUAGAGAUUCUUUAGUCCUUUGAACAUCUUUCGUUUACAUAUUAGCAAUAAGCCAUGUUUAUAAUUAUUACUAAAAAUGAAAAUAACAGGAUAUAUCAGUAAUUGGGACUGCUAUUAUAGUAGAUAAUAGGCUUUCAAAUAAGUGUAAGAAUUCUCAAAUUUGUAAGGUAAGGUGUUUUAUGUUAGUUGAAUAUAUUUUAGUAGUGAAGUAAGGAGUGAUAUUACAGGUUGAUUAUUGAGGUCUCUUGAAUUUAUCCUAUAAUUAGAAUUUUAUUCUUCAUAGUUACGUGUUAAUGUGUCUGCAUUUGUGCUUUUUUGUUUUAAAAUGUGAUACUAAAAAUACACAGAAAUUGAAAUUUAGCCCCACUGCAGUUCCAUAAUUUCUUCUUGCUUUGUUCUGUUGCUAAGUCGGAAAUUCACAUUUGCUAGAUUAUUACCUAUUGCCAUGGAAAUCGUUUGUUGUAUUUCUAUUUCACUACAGGAACAAGCAGCAGGAGCUAAUGGACCAUAAGAGGGAAAUUUGUUGUUUAAACAAUGAUUAUCUUUUAUAUUUGGCUAACAUGAAAAGGGGAAAGUACACUUUUUCUGUCACACCGCAUGAGAAGGACAACAGAUAGAUAGAAGUAUUCUUCUGCUAUUUUUGAAUAAGUGCUAUGUGAUAUAAGAAGCAAAAUCAAAUUUAAAAUUAAUGGAUGGUGAGAUAGAAACUUAUGGUAUUAUCUUGUUUAAAUCUCUUUUGCCUCUUUUGUGAAACAGUCAUUCUCUUCUUUUUGUGGGGUUAUUUUAUGCCUAAUUUUCUUUUACAAGGUAGAAUAUAAUUGCUUGUCAGCUAAUAGUUUAUGGCACAGAUAUUUUUGCCAAACACAUUAAAGGUAGAUCUUGGUUAUACAUAACCUUCAAGGAACACAGGGAGCACACAUGAUAUGGACAGAGAAGUUGAUGGGCAGUGAUUAUGAUCGCACAGGGAAGGGGAGUGAAGGCUUGUGUUAUUCUUUUUCUUUAAAUGUAUUUACAGUUUAUCAUGAGUCUUUUAUGAGUUUUCAUGUCCUUGUCUGCUGUAACUUUACUUGCUUCUUAUCCAUUCCCUCUCUCUGUCUGCCUUUGUCUCUCACAUACAUUCAUUCACACACACCCAAAUACACAUACCUUCACACUUGAAUUUGAGUAGCUGGCAUGCUUAGAAAUAUUCUCAAAUGGGGGUUACAUAGGGCCAAUGUAUAUAAAUUGAUGUACCUUUAUGUAUAUAUGUAUUUGUAUAGUCACACACUCUAUUUUCAAAUAGAAAACCAGUCAUACAAAGUAUUUGCCUUAUCUUAAACAUUCAGUUUAUGUUUGUUAAGUGAAUGAAUGUAUGAGUCUAAAAAGAGCAAUGAUAUUAAGGAUUGGGGAAAACUGGGCAUAGGAAGGAUUACUCAUGGGGAAGUUAUUUAUUCAGCAAAGAUUGACUUGUCUAGAUUAUUAUAUCAGGUUAUUUAUCAAUCAUGUGGAGCAGGCUGGGAGUGGUGGUUUAUGCCUAUUAUCCCACUGCUUUGGGAGGCUGUGGUGGGAGGUUUGUCUGAGGCCAGGAGUUCAAGACCAGCCUGGACAACAGAGCGAGACCCUGUUUCUUAAAAAAAAAAAAUUAGCUGGGAGUGGUGGCAUGUGGUUGUAGUCCUAGCUACUCGGGAGGCUUAAGCCCAGGAGUUGGAGGCUGCACAGUCCAGCCUGGGUGACAGAGUAAGACCCUGCCUCUAUUAAAAAAAAAAAUUCAUGUGGAGCAAUUGGUAGGUUGAGUUUAUUCCUUCACCCCGCCUUACUGAACCAAAUCUUAUUUCUGAUUAGUAGAGGGUAAGUGGAUAAUUAAUUGAGAUGUACACAUAUUUCAUUGGAAAAGAUAAAUUAUGCCUUAGAUGAAGACAGUGACCUGGGUAUGGGAUCAGAUAUUUGUAAUUUUUUUCCUUUUCCAUCAGCUUUUCUUAUGGCAGCUCAUUUUCUGUCUUAUGACAGCCAAGUAACCAGUAGAGUAAAAUGACGUUUAUAUGGUAGAAACCACAAUGAACCACUCAGGACAUCUGCCUUUAAAAACAGCAAUAAAAAGAUCAAACAUUCUCUAGUUACAACUUUAACAUUUUACCAUUUGGAGUGAUACUGCUAGUCCUGUCAAUGAAAAGGACCACUUGGCAUCUUUUUGGAGUAUCCGAAUGUGUGGUUGUGGACUCACUUCGGCCUAGGGUAGCGCUAUGGGUCUUGUACAGGAUUUUCUGAACCACUUUUCUAAUGUGCCCAAAAUGUAGAGAACAGGAUACUGCUUCCCCUGCUGCUUUCCUGAAUGUCAGCAUCUUUUUCUCUUAUAAAGGGCAAAUUGCUGUAUUGAAAGGAGUGUAAGCAAUGCAAAUCCAAGAUUUGGUUAAUAGUUCAGGUUAGGGUACCAACCACUUGACUUUCUUACCCCCUUUUUGCUCAAAUGCCACUUGUCAGUGAGGCCUUCUUUGGCUAUCUUAUUCAAAACUGUACCCUUGCCCCCCCACCUCCACCUUGCCUUAUUUUCCCAGUAGUACCAUUUGACAUAUACAUUUUAUUUAUUACACGUCUUCCCUAUAAGAAAGAGGUGCAUGAGGGCAGGGCUGCUGAAAUCCCAGUGCAUUGCACAAAAUAGGCAUUUGUUCAUUAUUGGUUGAUGAAUAAGGCCUUACAGAACCCACCUAAUUUUUCUAAAAAUUCAUUUCCUCAACUAUAAAAUGGAAGUGUUAGGAAGUACUUUGUGUGCUGUAAUAUACUUUAUAAGGUGUUUUGUCAUUAUUAAUCAAGUUAGAAAUUCUAAAUUUAGUACAAUUUAUGUAUUUCCUAACUUUAUCCAGUUAAAAAAAUACAUAAAAUGUAAAUAUGUAAAAAGUAUGUAAAAUGCUCUUUUUGAAAUGAAUGGGGACAACUCCAAAGCUGCCUUUCUGGCCCCAGUUCUGUUUACUGCUACGUGACUCAUUUUCACUUGUUUAUGAAUCAUAUUUUUUGCUUGCUGCUUAAGAGAUUCCUUAGCUAGAGGCCAAAUGGAGCAGUGAUUGGCUGAAGAGUCAAAAGAUUUUUACCUAUUAUACAAAGGCCUUCAGGAUCUCCUUCUUUCUGUCUUCUUUCAAUAAUAGAGGGGCAGUGCUGAUAGAGUGCAGCAAGGCCCAGUUUCUGCCCUACAAAGUGCUUUAGGAGUUUGGGAGAAGUAGGAAUGAAUUGUGACUUGGAGUGGGGACCAACCUUGACAAUGUACUCAAGGCCUGAGAUACAAAGCUGAAUUCAGCAAUCUCUACCUGAUUUCCUAGUGGAGAUACAAUUCCCCCUCCUCCCCCUCUUCUCUUCCUCAUCCUCCUCCUCCCUCCUCCUUCUCCUUUUCCCUCCUCCUCCUUUCUCCUCUCUCCUUUCUCCUUUCUCCUCUCUCCUUUCUCCUUUCUCCUCUCUCCUUUCUCCUCUCUCCUUUCUCCUCUCUCCUCUCUCUUCUCUCCUUUCUCCUUUCUCCUUCUCCUUCUCCUCCUUUCUCCUCCUUCUUCUUCAUCAUUUAGAGAUGGGGGCUCUCACUCUGCCACGCGGGCUGGAGUGCACUGGUAUAGUUAUGGCUCAUUACAACCUCAAACUCCUGAUCUCAAAUGUUUCCCCCACCUCAGUGUCCUGUGUAGCUGGGGUUGAAGAUGUGAGCCACCUCACCUGGCUGGGAGAUACAAUUAAAUAACUAAUUAUAACCAAGUGCUUAAUUGAGAUAUAAAUAAGACACAAGAGCAUAGAUGAGGCAGUGAUACUGAAAUGUAACUGGACAGGUCAGAGAAAACUUCCUUGAUAAGGUGACAUAUAAACUGAAUAUUCAUGGGCUUGAACAUAUAAAAGUGGAAGGAGGGGGAUUUCAGGAGGGGCAGAGUGAGAAAAAGAAAAAUGAAAAAGAAAGAGGCAGAAAAACUUAGUGCACAUUUUAGUUUGUCACUAGGGUUUUUGGAGGUUCAAGGUGAGAUUUUGAUUAUUGAAUCCUCCACCUACCCCUCCUGCCUUCUGGGAUUCUGGACUGAUGCAUUAUUUAUAAAAAUGUAUAGAAGCCAACAGGGAAAUAAAGUACUGUUUAAAAGGUGGACAAAGGCUGGAUAGCCCUCAAUGUCUGACUUUUUCAAUGAGGAGUGUUGAACCAUGAGUCUUGGUUUUGUAGGCGUAGCUCGGUUUUCUGGUCCAGUGAAGCCCAAUACUCUUCACUCAUUCAAUUGUAGGUGGAGACACUGAAGCAGAGUAGAGAUGAGGAUGGGCAGGCCAAGAGAUUCUUUUUAAUCACACAAAAUAAUUAUGACCACUCAGCCUGGAGGACCAGAUCCUGCCUAGGCAUGCCUACCACUCCCAGAAACAGGCAGAGUAGAAGUCCGGGGAAUCUGGGCUCAUUUCUUUAAAGCACAAUAACUUCAUCUAAAAGGUUUAAACUGUGGCAAAGUAUGAUAACUAUGACUCUUGCCUUGGGAAGGAACUAAUUAGGGUUAUAUAGACAGGAGAGAAACCCUCUUUAUUCUCUUCAGUCUCUCUACUUCCAUGUGCAUAGAUAGAAACCGUAGAGAGAUAUGUGGGUUCCCUGUCCCCAAUCACUCUAGUCUACAUUUUCUUCCUCCAUGACUAAUGGCAAUCAUUUCUCACAGGUUUAUUUUUUGUGUAGUAGAGUAUAGAUGACUGGCCACAGAGUAGAUUAAAGAUGACUCUCCCCUACCUGGAUGAAUCUGUGUCCUUGGCUUUCGAAUAUUUGCUAUAAAUAUUAAAUCCUUGGAAGUAUGGAACCACAUUUGCAGCUACUGUUAGCUAAAGGUGCCCGGUAAUUACUGUAUAACCUGAGUAAUAUUUUAAUACAGAACCUAGAGUUCUUACCUGCUUCUGAAUUUAUCUUUGCCUCUUGAGCCACCUUCACUUUCAUUUCUGGACGAAGAGGUGUUCUUUCUUCUGUUCAGGUUUGCCUGUCCAUCUGUGUUCUAGGUCUUCUCUCCCAGUUCCUCAGGCUCUUGCUCCAUUAGUUAUUCCAUUUCUUGCCCCUUUAAUCAGCUUUUCUGUACUGAUUGCUUUUCUGAGCUUUUGAACAUGCUCAGGUCUCUCUCAUGUCCAAAAUAAAAAAUGACAAUACCCCAAACCAUCCCUUGAUUCUGUGCUCACUACUUUAUUAUUUUUUUAUUAUAGUUAAGAUUUUAGAAACAGUUGUUUAUACUUGGUCUUUCUUGCCUCUCCUUUGCUCUUUCGCCUUUUGGAGUCUUUGGCAGUCCUGCUUGUUCUUACCAUUGGGAUCGCCUUCAUGAAGGUCAUCAGUGAUCUCUGACUUGCCAAAUACUUUUUGAUUUUUUUUCUGGCAUUGUGUAUACUUUUCAAUGCUUCUCUGAAAUUAUGUACUUUUCUUUUGUAUUUGAUUCUAUUGAAUGUUACUUCCUUAAAAAGUUCUUCUGUUUUGGUUUUUGUGAUUCUACUCUUUAUGAAUUUUUCUUGUUCAUACAUGGCUAUUUGUUAGUGAACUUGCUGUCUGUCCUCUCUCUCCUUUUCAGAAUUUUUGUGUCACUGUUCUGUCUUGGACCCUUGACCUUAUCACUCUACAACCUCUCCUGGAGCAAACCCUUUUAUGGGUCUGCUGCUAUUUCCAUAUUCUCUAGCUUCAGCGUAGGCAUUUCUGUUACACUUCAGAUCAUGACAUCCAAUUGCUUCCCAGACAUUUCCACUUAAAUAACCUACACACACUUCAUACUUGAUACAUUUGAUGAUAAUAAAAGUGUUCCUCUUUCCUGUUUGCUAUUUCAAUGGGUGAUAACAGCCUUUCCUCAGUUUCUCAAACCAGAGAGUUGGUAAGCAUUUCCGACUUCCAUUUAGCUCAUUAUAGUAUAACCAUCAUGGUACCUGCAUAUCCUAGGCAUGCAAUAAUGAUGUGUUUGAAUGAAUGAAUGAAUGAACAAAUGCCUUCUCUCUGACUCCUUAUACUCAGUCAGUCACCAAGUCCUGCAUCUUUUCUUUCUUCUUUUGAGCUUUUCUCUUUUGUUCUUCUCCAUUCUUAAUAUUCUGGCUGAGACUGUCCUCUCUCACCUUGGCGAUUGCAAUAGUCUACCUUGUUCUCAUCAUUGUUAGUGUAUUUUCCUCCUCACAGUUUUUCAUCUAUACAAGUACUGUCCAAUUGAGAUGUAUUAUACAAGGCAUAUAUACAGUUUUACCUAUUCUAGUGGCUACAUUUAAAAAUAAAAAUAAACAGGUGGUAUUGAUUAUAAUAAUAUAGUUUAUUUGAUCUAGUUUAUCCAGAAUAUUCUUUCAACUUGUGGUCAUGGUCACAUUUCAAAUGCUCAGUAGACACGUGGCUAGGGAAUACCAUAUUCACUAAAGUAGCUCUACGCUGCUAGCAGAGUGAAAAUCUCAUCCAGUCUCUGCUUACAUUGCUCCUCUGUUUUCACUUUUUCAGUGACUCCCAUGUCUUACAGGUCAAAAAAAUCUCAGCUUAGUAGUAUCUGCUGUAAGGUGUGAUGUGGUCUGGCCCUUCUCUACUUCCCUCUCUGACCUUUGUACUUUGCACCCUACUAAUACCAAACUAAUGUACUUCCUAGAAAUAUGCUGGGUUAAUCAGCUACAACAGUUCGCGUGGUGUUUCAGCACUUGUUGAUGGAAAUGCAGGCAUCUGGGUGAAAACAUGGUUUUCUUUAUUCUCAGAUCUAUUUAUUUUUAAAUACGGUGCUCAGAUUUGCACUCUCAUUCUGGAAACAUGGAAAAUAGAUAGUAGUGAGAAUAACCUGAUAUUUUUCACUUAGAAUCAACUCAGGUACCUUAGAGAAACAGAUUCUGUUACUUUUUUGUGGAGAAUACUGAGGUUAAAUUGUAUUCUAAGGUUAGCAGUUUAUGCCUGGUAUUUCUUUUUACAAUGUCUGAUGAUACAAUAUGAUAUCAGAGUAUAUCAGAGACAAGCCAGAUGGCCAAUUUUAGACUAGUUUUAGUGCUAACUAAAGGGCUAAUUUUUCUCUCUCAAACUCAACUGUGACUAUUUAUUGUGAAAAUAUUCAAUAGCUGGACAAGCUAAAUUGGUCCAGGAAAACCUAAUUGGGUAUUUCCAUCUUGCAUACCUCUGCUGCUUAUAAUUAAGGAACCCUAGGGAAUAGCUGUUAGUAAAAAUAUUGUUACAUAUCUGCUGCUUUUUCAAUAGCUGCAUGUUAAUUCAAGAAGUUAAAUUUCAAGGGACUAAAAUUUUAAAGAAAAAAAAUCUGAACCCUAGCACUAGUCCUUUCAUGUCCAUUUAGGUGAAUAGUUUUGCUUCUAUUGCAUUCUGAGUGUUGUUAUCAGUCUGUGUGUGGAGGAUCACACGAUUAGCUUGCUCAUAUUUUGACAAACGAUCAUUAUCUGGCUGAAGCAUGUUGUAGGAGUCAAUGAAUAUAUAAUCUAUUUCAGAUUCCUUAAAGAUAUUAAAUAUCUAACUUUGAAUAUAGAGGGUAUUUCUUAAUAAAUGUUUAAAAACUCUCAUGGCGGGGCCUUCAUAUGACAACUAAUAAAUAUACCAUUGGAUGGUGUUAACAAAAAGACGUAAUACUGUGAAGUGCCUUCAAAUUUUUUAGAUAUUAUAAUAAAAUAUUAUUUUUUCCUGACAAAUAAAUUAGCAGUGAUUUAAUCAUUUUAAGUUAAUUAAUGUUGCAGAAUAUGCACAGAAGAGUUUUCGAUGGAGCUAUUUUACUAUUUUCUAGUAACUUACUUUUGAUUUUUAUUUAGAUAGUUCAUAAUACUGAAUUGGCUAUGGAGAACAGUUGCCACUUGCAAUGUAUACAUGGAUUUUAUUUUUACCUAAACUUACGUGGAUGUAUGAAAUCUGUUAUUAAUGUUAGAAAAUAAAGUUGUUCAUGAAUGUUAUUUCGUCUAAAAAUUGCAGACUCGAACUGACUUGCUAGUUUUCUUAAUCUUAAAAUGAGUUCUUAUUUACUUGAUGAGCAAAUAGUAGGCAGUUACAUGUUAGACAAUUUUGUUAUUUAGAGUUUGAUAAUAUGUGGCAUUUUAUACUUCUGGAAUUUUCGGAUCUUGAAACUUAAGCCUUCAGAUAUGUAUCAUUAUUAAUAAUAUAUUAUUAUUUGAGAAAAUGGUGUUUCUAUUUGACUUUCAGCCUGGUUCCUUUCCACUAUAUUCACUUGAUAAGGGAAUUAUGAUUAUUCUUUGGCUCAGUGAAAUAUCAAUAGUGCUUUUCUGAGGUGCAGCAAUCUAAUGUGAGAUUGUUUUAAGGUGCCAUAUUAUGAAAUUUCAUUUCACCAUGUAAACAUCUUGACAUAUUUUGCAGUUUUUAAAAUGGCUUUUGAUGAAAUGUCUGUAACAACUAUUAUCUUGCAUAAUACAUAUAUAAUUUAUGUACUCUCAUUGGGUACGUUCCUUGACUGGAAUAUAAAUUUUCAUUUACAUAUCAGUUUAAGUUUGAAUUAUGUUGUAGGAGAGAGGAAGUGAUACUGUACAUGAUGUUUCUUAUCUUUAAUAGGACUUUUUUUUUUUUUUUUUUUACCAUAAGGGUUACUUGAAGUUUUCAAUGAUAUUUUAUUGGCAAUUCUGGUCUUCUCUUACAGUGUACAAAUGUCACGUAUUGUGUUCUUCAGUUGAUAAACAGAUUGUAUUCUACUACUGGAUUAGCCUUUCAGUAAAUGUGUUUCAAAAUGGUCUCAUUAGCCUUUUAAUAAAUAUUAUAAUUAAAUAUGCAUAAAUAUGGGAAGGUCUACUGUGUAACAACAUGGUUAUUAUAUGUUUCAAAUUAUCUUGUAUUCUUAUGGAAUUGUAUACCUGUUUCUCAUGCAGAAUAACUACACCCUUAAGAGAGUAUACUAACCUGUUUUUAUGUUUGUAAAGACUGCAAGUCAGCUAGGUGGCUUGAAUUAAUCUGAAUUCACCUUCAUGAUAGAGCUGAAGAAAUUGAUACUGCAACUUAUCAUGUAACAAGAAGAUCUCAAGUUUAAUAAGUCUUUGAGCUGAUUCAGACAAUGGAUUUGUUGCUAACAGCUUUUUUGUUAAUACUGAUGUGAGAAUGCAAUUGGAUAUUAUAAACACUCUUCAGUUCAACUGUUUAGUCAUUAAAAUAAUUUUGAUAUAACAGAUAUUGAUUAAGAAAGGGAUUUUAGAGAUAGAAAGACUUGACUUCAGUUCUCUGAUUUGCCAGUUACAACUACAGCGGUGCCCUUGGGUGAUUAUAACAAUACCUGCUUCAUAGAAUUGCUUUGAAAAAUAAUUUAGAUAAUAAGAUUUAGUAAGUACUAAUAAAUGUGAAGUAUUAUUAUAAAAGUCAUGAACAUUUUUGUCUUAAAUAUAUUUAAAUUUGCUGGAAGUUUUAUCAAUUUUUAUAUUUGUGACAAUUAUAAAAUGUUGACUAACUGGAUUAUAAGUAUGCUAAGCUAUAAACUUUUUGGGUGGUCCUUUGAGUGCCAAUACAAUCCACAUAUCAGAAAACAUUAUACAGUUGACAUUUAAUAAAAUUGAAUUGAAUUUUCAUGGCUUCAACUGGUAUAAGAUGAUUAUCAUGCAAUUUUGCUUACAUCCUGACAUAUAAUUGUUUUAUAAUUUUUCUAUAUUACCUGCCAAACUACAUUGUAAACAAAAAUUGAUUAGAGAUUAUAUUUCAGUUUUUUUUAUAUUAUCUAAAGUUGUGUUAAAAAACACGAUCUUCAGCUACCAAGUCUAUUCCAUAAAUAUUUCUUGGAUUUUAACAUGAUUUUUUUUAAUGGAUUCUCCGUAUUCCCCUUGAUUUUAAAAGAAAAAUGAAUAAGUAAAACUAAGUUAAGUUAGAAUUAUUAAUGGAAGGAUGCUAAAAUCAAUUAUGGUACAUUAAUACUAUGUAUAGUAUUAUGAUAAGAUAUAUAUGUGGAUGUGUAGUUGUAUAUGCAUAGAAAAUACUGUGGUAGGAUUAACAGCAAAUUGUUCAUAGCAUUACUUCGGGUGAAGAGAUUAAAACAGUUUAGAGUAUAUAUCAAAUGGAGUUUUGUAAUUGCAAGCAGCCUAAACUCAGAGAUUAUCUAAGCAAAAUAAGAAGAGGAUUUAUUAGAUAAAAUGUGGUUAUAUCACAGAAUCAAAAGCCAAGCCGAAUAAAUAGGCCCCUGGAAGCAUGGAACUAUAAACAGCUGAGACAGUUCAUUGGCAGAAAUUCCUGUGCAGUUUCUGUGGCAGGAGUGGGAUUUGGGGAUUUCAUGUGACUGACAGCCGUACUAGAAUGACAUAGAAUGGAGGGAAAAGCAGUUUACCACAGGAACAGGUGCUGGGCAUGAAGAGUAUCAUAGAGCUGUAUUAUAGAGGGAUACUAUACUAUAGAGCUGUACUAUAGAGGGAUGCUAUACUACAGAGCUGUAGUAUAGAGGGAUACUAUACUAUAGAGCUGUACUAUAGAAGGAUACUAUACUAUAGAGCUGUACUAUAGAGGGAUGUUUUCCUUCUUUAUAUAUAUGAACGCAUACACACAUACACAUACACACAUAUAUAUAUUUACAUAUGAAAUGGAAAGGAAAGAGUAACAUUAUAGAAGAAUGACUAAGAAAAACCUAUACAACUUGGUGAUAAGGAGCUACUUCUAGGGGGAAAAUCCAAUAUUAGAAGAAAAUAACUAUAUAUACUAUAUUUUUUAUUGUGCAAAUAUAUAUUACAUAUAUUUAUUUUAAAAACACCUUUACUGAAAUUUAAUUCAUAUACCAUAUGAUUCACCCAUUUGAAGUAUACAAUUCAAUGACUUCUAGUAUAUUCACAGAGUUGUACAUUCAUCAGAAUAAUUUUAGAACAUUUGUAUUACCCUCAAAGAAAACCCCACAUCCCUUAGCUGUCACCACCAUGCCACCUCCAUUCACUCUGUCCCUAGCAACCACUAAUAUGCUUUAUGUCUCUAUAGAUUUUCCUAUUCUGAACAUUUCAUAUAAAUGGAAUUACAUGAUAUGUGGUUCUUUGUGACCGACUUCUUUCACUUAGCAUGAUGUCUUCAAGGUUCAUCAUGUUGUAUGUAUCACUACUUUUUAUUCCCUUUUAUGUCUUAAUAAUAUUCACUGUAUGGAUAGACCCCAUUUUAUGUGUCCAGUCAUCAGUUGAUGAACAUUUAGAUUGUUUCCACCUUUUAGCUAUUAUGAAUAAUGCUUUUAUGAACAUUUGUUUGCAAAUUUUUGAAUAACUGUUUUCAAUUCUCAUAUAUAUAUAGCUAGGAGUAGAAUUGAUGGAUUAUAUGGUAACUCUGUGUUUAAGCAUUUGAGGAAAUGCCAAACUGUUUUCGGAAGCUGCUGCUCCAUUUCACAUUCUCACCAGCAGUGUAUGGGGUUCACUUCCUCCGUAUCUUCAUCAACACUGUUAUUAUCUAUUUCUUUGAUUGUAGCCAUCCUAGUAGAUGUGAGGUAGUAUCUCGUGGUUUUGAUUUGCAUUUCCCUGAUAACUAAUGAUGUGGAACAUCUUUUUAUGUGUUUAUUGGCCACAUAUGUAUUUUAAGUUAAUGAGAUUAUGGGGCUUUUUUACUUUUGGAAUUUAUUUUUUUUACCAAAAAACUUGUCAGAUUUGUUUAGAUAUUUGUACCAUUACUCUUCAUUGUUUAUAAUUUUGAGUGUGCGUUAUGUAACACAGUGUUACUCUACAUAAUUUCUCUGUUAGCUAACUGUUGUAAGAAAUUGGGACUGAGAGAAGGUAAGUUAUUUGUUCAAGGUCACAGAGCUAGUAAAUUGUGUAGGAUUUGAAUCCAGGUCAUUUUAAAUCCAGAGCCUGAGUUCUUUAAAAAUGGUACUAUAACAUGUCUCAAGUAAUAUAUGUUUUUAGGUUUCUUGUAUUACUAUUGUUAUUGUUUUUGCUCUGGUUGUUACUUUAUUUUACCCAACUACAUAAUCUCAUAGAGACAAAGACUUAAAUUUCACAUGACCCUCAGUUCAAAAAUGUCACUUUUGGCCGGGCCUGGUGGCUCAUGCCUGUAAGCCUAGCACUUUGGGAGGCCAAGGCAGAUGAAUCACUUGAGGUGAAGAGUUCAAGAUGAGCCUGGCCAACAUGGUGAAUCCCCAUCUCUACUAGAAAUAUAAAACUAGUCAGGCAUGGUGGCGCACACCUGUAAUCCUAGCUACUCGGGAGGCUGAGGCAGGAGAAUUGCUUGACCCGGGAAGUGGAGGUUGCAGUGAGCUGAGUUGGCACCACUGCACUCCAUCCUGGGUGAAAGAGCAAGACUCCAUCUUGAAAAAAAAAAGUCGCUUUUACCAAACUCAGGAAAUCUGUUCACAGGUUUGCUAAGGUACAGUUGCUUAGCCAGGAUUACAUGUUGUUUUCUACCUACAUGAGAACUGUGUUUGUUGAAAAUGCACAUUUCCAGGCUUCACUCAGAUAUUAUGAACGAGCCAGUUGAGUACCAGACCUUGACAUCAUAAUUUAAGCAAGUGGAUUGGAUUAAAAACCACUUUUUUUUUUGGUGGCAGAUAUUUUACUGUCUCAUAAGACUACUAUUAUUAUUACUUUAGAUGGCUUUUCAUCUGUUUCCUGGUAGUUUUUGUCUUUUGACCUGCCUCUACUCUUUGUAGCAACACUCAACAAGCCUGUUCCUUUUAAUGUUUGGCAAAUACGGCAUCAGUGUGUGAGUACUUUUAGUCUAUAGUUUACAUCCUGAGAGUUCUGCUGAGUUAAUAAUCAGUGAAGACUCUCUUUCUGAGCACCUCCUAAAUAGUGGGAGACAACACUAAAGUAUAAGACCCCCCGCUAUGAAGGAGCUAAAACUGUGGUAGGAACUGUAAAUAUUUACCAAAAAUAUUCAAGUCUUCUUGAUACAUCGUGAUAUCAUAUUUGAUGCUUAAAUUUCACAUUUUCUUGUCUCUGAAAACAAAAGUCUAGACUUAGUGACAAUAGUUUUUUCCCUGAUUUAAUGUAACUUUCCCUCAGCAAUGUGAUAGCUGUAGCUAACAUUGAAUGCAGCAUCCAGUGUCUUCACACAGGCUUAGAUAACCUCAACACUUUGUUUUCUCACUUGGGUUGCCAAGCUAGGAGAGAAUACUAUUAAAGGGUCAGACUUAUGUGGUCAGGCCCUAUUAGCUUUUGAUUUAAGGCCAAAGCCAUUUUACUUGUUUGACUCUCAGGGUCUGACUGUCUUUUGGGUUUAACUUUGUAAGAGCUAUAUGGCUUUUUCCCCUUUAUACUGUGAAAAAUGCAAGGAGCCUUAUGAUAUGUUGUUCAUCAGAGUACUUGUUAGACAUAAGGACAAUAAUAAUGUGGGAGAAAGAAUGGACUUUGAAAAGCUCACUUUGUGGAAUUGUUGAGUCUUGUCAUUUUCUUUUUCCUAAUUUUGGUUUUUUUCCUCUUGAGAACUAGCUUCUCAUCACUAAGUUCUAUUAGGUUUUUCUUAGUUGUUCUUCUAGGAUGCCAGUCUUUCCAUUCAUUAACUUUAAGUUACCAGCCUAGUCUAGGACUUUACUAGCUACAGAAUGAUCAGUACUAGGAAAGAUAAAAGGCUCAGUGGUGAUUUUAUUACAUGAAUAUUGACUUGAUUUAUGCAAAUGCAUUGUCAGCAGGUUACCAAUUUACAUUAUUCAGUAUGCAUUUAUAGACACCUGACAAUAUCAAGCUUUAGCAUGUGAGCAAUUUUUGGAGACCUGCUUUGUGCUUGGAUAGUUCAGAGCAGCUCCCAUUAUAUAAUCUGAAGUGACCAUGAUGAAGGCUUGGCUUUUUUCAGGAACUGAAUGAGGUCUUUGCUGCAGAGUAAAAUGGGAAGGGUCAGAGCAAACCUACCAUUAGAAAUUGAUGUUUGGCUUUUUUUUUCCUCCACGAUUAAAAAAGUAGGGGAAAAAAACCCACCUCAACUUCGAUUUGAUUCAAAAUAGUAUUUCCUAAAACAUAAGCCAUUCUUGUCAAAUAUGAGUUCCUUAACUUAAAAAUGCAUUCAUUUAAAUCCCUGAUGUAUUUUCUCGUGUUCUUCAUUCAUGCUUGGGGACAGAGUGAGUGGGAUUUAUGAGUUACUGUACUCAGCACAGGAGAAAUAAAUUUGGUAUAAAAUAUGUAGAGUAUAAUCUUACUAUUUUUGUAUAAUAUUAGAAUUUAUCCUAAUCUUACCAACCCAUCCUUGAAGGCAUUUUCCUUCAGUUCAUAAUCCUCACUAACCAAUUUUUCUCCAAUGGGAACUUAUAAACAUUAGCAAAGCUUAUAACUGAAGUUGUCAAGAAAACAGACAAAUUGAAAUGUCUGCCCCAGAGCAGCUUUACAAGCAGCAGCUCCUGGAUCAUGAAAGGACCAAGAAAGAGGAUCCUAACUGCAUGGCCUCUUUUCCACUUCACCUUACUUAGUAGCAGUGAAAAGCAGGUUUCUCUCUUUUAUUCAGUGUUUUUUCUCAAUUUCAAUGUAUUUACUGUGUGACAUUUGCUGAGUAUAUUUGCAAACAUCUCAUCCAGUUUUCAAAACAAUUCUGCCCAGUAGAUGAUACCAACCUUUAUUCCUCAGAUGCCACACUGUCUUCCAGUAUGUUAACCUUUUUGAUCAUCUCGAAUUCUUUUUCCUUUUCAUAGAAAACUUAUUUUUUUCUUUCCUUUUAUAUAUUUUCAGUUAAAUUUAAGAAAUACUCAUUUAACAACUACCCUGUGGGAGGCAUGUGAUCUCUUUCUCUCUACAGUUUUUUUUUUUUCACCACUUAAUGCUACUUUAAAGUGUUUUGGGGAAAGUUUCUUAAUCCUCAAUAAUGAAAACAUUGGAAGAUAUUGUAGGGGCAAGUCUCUUAAUCCUCCGUAAUUAAAACUUUGGAUAAUUUUAUAGGUUCCUUCCUCCAGUGGGUAACAGAACAGAUUACAUCAAUGUUUUAUGUUCACUUUUACCCUAAUUGUUCAUCUUCAAUGUGUAGACUUUAUGGGUAUUUGCAAGAACAUGAUCAAUGAUCUACAGCACUUGAAAUAGAAAAAUGAAACUGAUGAGGAAUUAUGACUGCUCAUAUUAUUCUGUCCCUGUUUUGUUUUGCUAGUGCAAAACUAGUGUUUCUUAUCAUCCUUGCUCAUACAUUAUGUUCAUGGCCUUUUGGGUAGACUAGGAGGGAAAGAGAUAGAUUAAAUACCCUUUCUUAUCUGCCAUCCUGUACCAUGCUCAUCAUUUCCUUUAUUUUAUGAAACAGAAUUUGCUUAUGUUAAAAAAAAAAGAACAGAACUCAUCAGAAGAAGUGACAAAGUCAAGUGAUCAUUUGAAUGUUUACAGGCAGUCAGCUCCAUCUCUCUUCUCUGCCUUCCUUGGUAUCUGCUUCCUUGUAAGGUGGCUCAUUUUGUGGUUGUGUGAUAGUAGCCAGUGGGAUCUGGUGGGUGGCAGGUGGAGGGUGAAGGAAUAUUUAUCAUGUGCCCACUGACAGAAGGAAGGAGAACAAGAGAUACGUAUUCUUUUCUUUCAUGUGGCUCCAGUAUUUUAUAGAAGUAUUCAGCUUAAAGGAAGUAUUAUUCCAAAGUUUUCUUUGUUGUGUUUUGUAUUUUUUUCAAAUUUUUUAUUUUAAUUUUUGUGGAUAUAUAGUAAGUGUAUAUAUUUAUGGGAUACAUGAGAUGUUUUGAUACGGGUAUGCAAUGUAUAAUAAUCACAUCAUAUAAAAUGGGGUAUCCAUUUCCUCAAGCAUUUGUCCUUUGUAUUUUAUAUUUUGUUUGGUCAUUGCUUGCAAUUUUUAUGCAUGAUGUUGGCACAGAACCUCAGACUGGCAGUUGUGUAAUCCUGGCUGUUUCUCCUUGACAAAAUUGGAAUACUGAAACUUUGGAAAAUGUUUGUCAAGGUGAUUGUUCUCUUACCCAAAAUUGUGGCCAUUUGUCAAUAUAUUCUGAGUUUCACAGUUUGAAGAAUACCAGUUAUGAAACUUAAGACUCACUACUUUGAAGUGCGUGUUUGAUGCUGACCAGCUCAGCUUUAAAAACAGUGUUUUCACAAUAUUUUAUUUGUAUGUUUGUUUUGUUUUGCUUCAAAGAAUAGUUGCCUAAGCUGAGCCUAUUUAAAUUACAUAAACAUAUGACUACACCCACCUCUUCACACCUUUUAGAAUUUUAAAUUUUUAGUAUAUGCUAUAUAUAUUUGCCAGUGUUUACUUUACUUUUGUGCCUUUAAUGCAAUGCCUUAACAUUGUGGGAGUGACUUUUAAGUUCAGUCUCUGUACAUACAGUCUCUAUGGUGAUACUGUAUCGUUACAUGGUGAACAGUCCACAGAAAGUACUUGCAUGUCUUUCUUAGAAACUUUCUGGUACUCCUAUGCUAUAGUCCUCUUUUGAUGGAUGCCUUAGGCAUAUGCUAACAAGAUUUUGUUUUUUAAAAAUCUUGUGACCCCAUUAUCCAAAGGCAGUCAAAAGCACACAGCCAUUAAGGGGGCUGAACAAGAGGACUUUAUAGUCCAUACUGGAAAGUCACCACAACCCCAGUAAGAUCUUCUUUUCUAAGAAAGGGAUGCAAUUAAUAGAAAGAUGCAAAAGUAUGCAGACAUUUUGAGAGAAGGCAGGCUGCAGAAUCUAGGAUACUGUAGCAGCCAUGAAGAAGACAUCACCACGAGAGAAUGGGAAAAGUCGUACAGAGAAAUUAGUAGAUUAGUGAAGAAGAGUCCAAGCAUGGAAGAUUGUAAGACUUGCCACGACUCUCCUCAAGUUGCUAUGUAUUUUGAGGGCAGCUAUAUUCUGUUCUUCCUUACCUCAUCAUGUAUCCUUUCUGUAGCCCCUCCAUCACCUGGCAUACUCUGACUGUGUUUCUGCUUUGGAGAUGCCUAAGAAUGGAUGUCUUGCACUUGACUAUUGAAUAAUAAAUCAGUUUUCAAACAGUGAUGAUAUAUAACUCAAAUAAAAAUCUUAUAUAAUAAAAUAGCCUAAAAUGAGGCUGAAAAACACCAGGUAUGGAAGUGGAAUGUCUGAAAAAGAAGUGAGAUAAUAGGUUUUUGUGUUAAUAUUUUCUCACCAUGUGCAGAUUUUAUUUAUCUUUAAAUAAAACUUACCUGGUUGUAUCAUAGUUCUUAAGAAACUAUGGAAUAAUUUAAAUGAGAAAAAAAAUAUGGCUAUAUACUAAACUGGUUUAGGGGAAUCUCGUUAACAUGCUGCCUUUUUGUCAAGCCACUAAAGCUCACUGACUCAGUGUGAAUUUAGAGAAACGGGAUUUUGAUGGUAGUGCUACUAAUUAUGCUUCAUCACUAUCUAGAUUUCUUUCUCUGUGUUAAUAUUUAUGGUUAUUUGGAAAUUUUCAAGUGUUAACUAUUUUUAACGUCUAUGUCAACUGCACAGGGAAGUUACGUUUGAACAAGGGUGCAAUAAAGUAUUUUAAAAGUUUUUCCAUAGACGUUUUCUGUGUAAUCUCCCUGAAAACAGAGAUUUUUGCUUAUUUUGUUCAAUGAUGUAUUCCACUUGCUAAGCCCAGUAGUACUUAGUUGGAUAUUCUAGAGGUAUUUGCUAAAUGAACACAUUCAAUAUCAAUAGGAAUUUCUCUAAUUUACUAUAAGGUGUAGAUUCAUGUUAUUACUGGAGGGGAAAUUAAGGAUCAUAGAGAAUGACUCACUGACUCUCUCCAUUGAAAUUGGGGCUGAGAGAUGUUAAAUGUUGCCUGAGGGCAUGGUUUAAGAGCAGCAGAACUAGGCCUAGAUUCUAGGUUUCCAAACAACUUGCUCAGUUUCACAUGACAACACAGGUUAGAGUUGGGGUUUAAACUCAGAUCUGACCGACAAUGAAGUCCUUUGUCUGGAUAAGAGUUUUUGAUAUUUUUUAUAAAAUUUUAAUAUGUCACCUUUUCUUUAUAGGUUUUCCUCUGUCCCUAAACAGAAUUAAUUGCUUCCUUAACAGAUUAUACUAAAUACCAUUGUUUUCUAGCAUGGAUCACAUUAUAUUGAGUUGAUUUCAUGGCGGUGAGUGCUUAAGACCAAGGACUAAUUCAUCUUCCUCUUUACCAUCUAGAAUUUAGCAUAAUGACUGCCAUGAUAGUUGUUCUGUGUUUUGAAUUGCUGUGAGAGGUGGUAACAAAUAGUAUAUCUAAGCCUAGGUCUAGGGAGAUAAAACUUUUAUGAGAAGAACAAAGUCUCAUUGCUUUUUAAAUCAAGCAUACAGUUAAUGCUUGAUAAGUGUUAAAAUUAAAUAAUUAUUAUUCUUGGAGAUGUGAUUUAAUGAUGUUAAUCUUGAUUGGCUUUUGAAAAUGGCUUUGUUUUUUAAUUUUUAAAGAAUUGAUAGCAAUACUUUUCUAUUGAUAUAUUGGUUUCAACAUUAAAACUCCUUCUGACCUUAUUCUAUGAUUUCCUACUGGCUUUUUAGACUCUCACCAAUCCAUGAUUAAUGCCAGUUUGCAAAAUUUUGCCUGACUUUGACACGAGUAAUUUUAGCCCUUUCAUGAAAAUUGAAAUCCUAGUACUAUUAUGAAUAUAUUCCUUAGUAAUUAUACCAAUGAAUUUUAUACAACUGUAGCAAAACAUUUGAAAACAUGAAGGGAAUUACAUUUCAGGAGAAUGUUGUGGUAUUACAAAAUGUAAAAACCUAUAGAAGAUGCAUUGUUUUGCCUGUAGAUCUUACAAACGUAAUGCUAUUUACUGAGAGUAAUAUUUCAAACCAAUUUUUUUCUUACCACUAAAUCUUCUAAGAUAUGUAAUGUCAUCCCUUUAGGGAAAUGGUCUGAAAGUAUUUGAUUCCUGUUUGUCAUUGAAAAACUACUGUAACAUUUUAUUUCUAUGAAAACUAUUAUUAAAAAAGAAUAGGAAAUACUGUAACAGUCAUUCAUGUGCUAAUUUCUUAAAAGAAGGUCUGUAUUAUUGGUAUUGUCAUUGAAAUCUUUGGUCCUUUCUAUAAAACAUAAUAUUUUAUGAAUAUAACAAAACUUGAAGUUCAAACCAUUUUCCUUUACAUAUUUAAAAAAAAUGAGGACCAGAAUGAAUUCACACUUCAGAUGUUGAAGCCAGCUGAUGGAAAGCCUGGACUAGAUUUUAGCUCUUUAAAUACUUUGGCCAGUACUUUUUCCAGUAUACUAAACCAUUGGAAAAGAAUAAAAGUCACCCAAAGAACUGCUAAAUAAGAUUAUAUAAUUUUAUCCCCUUAUGCUUUUAUAUUUUAUUUUACAGAUUUGUCGUUGUUGUUACUCUUGUUGCCAGUAAAGGAAACAGAUUGACUUAAAAGCAAAAAAGGAGUUUGUUAGACAUAUCUGGUAUCUGGGAUGGGAAAAGCUCACAGGAUUGAAGGGAGACUAAAGAGUUAUGCUUGAAACAGAUAAGAAUUAGGCAGAUCUGGAAGGUCUUGGUAGCAAGAACUUUCAGGAACAACAGCAACAAAAAUGUUAGGCUGUGUUGCUGGCGUAAAUAAACUCUAACCACGUCUUUGGUAUGUGCAUUGAUUCUGCUUAAUACACUAAGUCUUGAGAGAAUGUGUCUGACUGACUGAACUUGGGUUAUAUGUUCACUUCCCUAUACCAUUGGACUGAGCAGAGAGUUUUCUGGAAGUAGCCUUUAAAAGACAUCUUUGGUUUCCAUAAUGGAGAACAUGUAUUUGGAUUUAUGCUUCCACCAGGACUGCAUAGUAGAGAAAAUUCCCCCAAAAGAAGUAGGGGUGAUGUCAGGAAAAGGGCUGGAUGCUGGGCUGCCGUAAAAUGACAUAUCCACUUAAUACACCUGAUAAUUCUAUUGUGCUGGAAAACUCUUUUUUCCUAUAUCCAAUAUAACCAGCAUUUUCCAUAUAAGCAUAUUCAAUAUUUAUAAAAUGUGGAUUAUCUAGUGUGUAUAGAUUGAGAAUAUUUUAAAAGUUUUUCUAUCCUUUUGUCUCUGGUGGCAUCUUAAUUACUUAAUAAUACCUUUUCCUUUUUUUAAUGAGUGGUCAAAAGGAAAAACGAAGAGGAGAAUUCAAAUCUAAGAUAGUCUUUAUUUUAUGUACAGCGUUUGUUGCUCAGUGAAUGGAAAUAAUAGCUAUCAUCUAUUGCUUAUCCACUGGUUUUAAAGUACUAUAUGGGCAUUUUACCUCUGUUUUCAAUGUAAGAACUAUUUGAGAUCAGAAUCUCAGGUUCAAGUGCAGUGGAGCAUGUUGUUUACAAGUAUGAGGUCUAGAAUGAGAGUCUCUGGGUUCAAAUUUGGACUCACACUAGCUGUGUGGCUUUGGACAGGUUACUUAACCUUUCUAUUUCUGUUUUUUCCCCAUGCGAAAAGAGGGAAAAUAAUAGGAUAUAUAUUGCUCAAGUAACUGUGAAAAUUGAAAGAUAUAAUGAAUAUCAAGUACUUAUUAGCAUAGUGCCUGGCAUUUAGUAAGCAAUAAAUGUUAGCUAUAAUUCUGUGUAUUAACUCUUGUUAACUGUACUACAUGUUGUGUUAAAAAAAAAAAGCCUUUUUGCUGAGAGAAACAAGUACUACCAAAUUGAGGAAGAAUGAAGGUAACUAACUAACUGGACCUAAAUAUAGUAUUAUGCUUUUAACCCAGUAGGAAUAAAAACAAAUUAAUGAUUGUUACUCCGGAAAUACCUAUUAGCGUAUGUCCUUUUGUGCUUGCAUUGUGAGGGCUCUUCGUAUUCUUAUUGUAGUUUUGAAGAAAUUAUUAAAACAAUUUACAGAACAUUAUUUUUUUCUUUAUUCUUCUUUCUGAUGUAAUAUUUCCUAACGUAAUAUUUUACCCACACAGGAAUAUAUGUAGCAUGUAGGUAGUUAUAAAGCAUAACAAUAAGAGGAACAGCCACAAGUGUCACCGAGAACACUGUCAGCAUAUUCUUCUGUGCGUUCCUCCUCUCUCCUAUUCCUCUCUCUCACAGUACCUGAAUUUUGUGUUUAUCUUUUGCCUGCUUUUUUUCCCCUCAAGCUUUGUAUUUGGAAAUGAUUUUAAACUUACAUCAAAGUUGCAAAGAUGGUACAAAGAAUACCUAUAUUCUUCUAAAGCUAGGACUUAGCAAGUGUUAACAUGCUAGUAUUUUGUCCCAUUGGUUUUAUCAUGUGAUCUCUCUCCCUGUCUCUCCUCUCCACAUAUAUACGUGUGUGUAUACAUAUAUACAGAGACAAUGAAUGUAUUUAUGAAAUAAUAUAUAGAGAGAAUGCAUAUGUAUAGAGAGAAUGAAUAUAUGUAUAUAUUCUUCUUUUUUUAGAAUCUUCCGAAAGUUUCAGAUAUUAUUGCCUUCCUUUACCUCUAAAUAUCGCAAUGCAAUUUCCUAAGAUUAAGGCAUUUUAUUUAUAUAAUCACAGUAUAAUAUCCAGUGUCAGUAAAUUUAACAUUAAUAUAUUGCCAUUACCUAACUUACCAUUCAUAUUUGAAUUUUGUCAGUGUACCUAGUAAUGUAGUUUAUAAACAUUUGCUUUUUGUUUCUCUCCAGUACAGGAUCCAGCAUGGAGCCGUGUAUUGUACUUGGUUUUCAGGUCUCUUUAAUCUCUUUUAAUCUUUAAUCUAUAACAAUUCUUCAGCUUGCUUUUUUGUCUUUUAUAACACUGAUAUAUUUGAAGAAUACAGCGCCCUUGCUCUUUCUUUUUUUUUUUUUCUUUCUUUUUUUAAUAGAAUGCUUCUCAUUUGAGGUCUGUUUGAUGUUUUCUCAUGAGUUAAGUUCAGAUUUUGCAUUCCUAGCCAGGAUAUUAUAUAAAUGAUUUUCCUUUUCCAGGCAUCGCAUCUGGAAGCUCUCAGUAUUUAUCUGGUCAAGGUACUGUCUAGUUUCUCUAUUUUUUAGUUACUACUUAUCCCCUUGCUAUUAAUGAGCAAUCCAUGGGGAGAUACUCAGAGACCGUGCAUGUAAAUUUCUCUUCUUGAUUUAGCAUCUACUAAUAAUUCUUGCCUGGACCAGGCUUUAUUGUCAUGGUUGCAAAAUGAUGAUGUACCAGUGCCAGUAUUUCCUCUUCAUUUACUAGUCAGUCUUCAGCAUCCUGCUCUACCAGUCAUCCCUUCUUCCUCAUUUCCUUCUACUUUUUAUUAGAAAAUUUUUUUACUGGUGGUUUAUAAUUCUAAGUCUUUGUGAUAGGUUUUAAAAAAUCAUUUUUGAGCAUUUCCUUACUUUUUGGCAUAGCAAGGUGCUCCAGGAUAAUUGUGUACCUUCUCUAUCUAGCCCUGAAGCUAGCCAUUUCUCCAGAAGCCAUGAUUCUUUUUGGUGAGGAAUGGCAUUAAAAACCAAGUUUCAUAAAACCAAGUUUCAUAAAAAUCGGUUUCAACAAGAUCUGAGUGCUAGGUUUAUUUGCCCUGUAAGUUGAUUAAAUUGUGGUUUAUAAACUAGUUGGUAAUUGUUUCUCCUUUUCAUCCUUCAGCUUUGGUUAUGUAUUGAGUUUCUUUCAAUUAAGUCAAGAUGCCACCUUCAGAACCUAUGAUGUUUUAAUUCUUGUUGCCUUAUUUAUAGUCCUUUAUAUAUUUAUCAUAGUAUUCUUCAUAUGAAUGUCAGGACUGGCUGCCAUGUUGUAGGAAAUUCAAUAGCUGCUCUAGCGUGGCGUGAAACAAGCAGCUAUAUAGGAUUAGUAAUGAUGUCUGUCACAGGCAGAUGAAAUAAAGCAUUAUGAUGUGGCAUUAUUGAAAAGGAUAAGCAUGAAAAUAUUUUCAAGAAAUGAAAUAUUCAUGAUAGCAGAUUGUGUUUCAAAACCUGAACAGUUUCAAAUAAUCACUUAUUUCUCCUACAUCUUUCGUGAAGUACAGGAAACUAAGGAGAUAUAGGAUUGUGCAAAGGCCACUGCGGGGUAUUAAUUUUAUACUGAAUUCAAUUUUAAAAGUUCAGCAGCAGAAAGGUUAAGACCUUCUUAUUUAAAGUUUAUCUUAUUUCUUAAGGUAUUUCCUGUUGUUUAGAGUUCUAACCACUGUACUUUUUGUUAUAAUGGAUGAUUUUAAUAAAAUAAGCAAUUUUUAUUACUUAUGUAUAUAAUGUUUAUAGAUUUUUUUUUUUUUUGACAGAGUCUCACUCUGUCGCCCAGGUUGGAGUGAAGUGGUAUGAUCUUGGCUCACUGCAACCUCCACCUCCUGGGUUCAAGCGAUUCUCCUGCCUCAGCCUCCCUGGUAGCUGGGAUUACAGCGCCUGCCACCACACCUGGCUGAUUUUUGUAUUUUUAAUAGAGGUGGGGUUUCACCAUGUUGCCCAGGCUGUUCUUGAUCUCCUGACCUCAAGUGAUUCGCCUGCCUUGGCGUCCCAAAGUGCUGGGAUUACAGGAGUGAGUCACCGUGCCUGGCCAAUGUUUAUAGUUUAUAUAAAAUAUUUCACAUGAAUCCUUUUUUUUUUUUUUUUGAGACCGAGUCUCACUCUGUAGCCCAAGCUGGAGUGCAGUGGCGCAAUCUUGACUCACUGCAACCUCUGCCUCCAGGGCUCAGGUGAUUCUUGUGUCUCAGCCUGCCGAGUAGCUGGGACUAUAGCAUCCUCAUUUAAUCCUACCUACUGAAUAUGAUCCUGUAAUUACCAUUUUAUUAAUAAAGGAACUGUGACUAAGACACAUUAUGUAAUUUCACCAAAGUCACAGAGCUGUGCUCUAUAUACGUAUGUAUACUCUGCCUAGUUGCAAAAAAAAGAAUUGAGGUAGAUUUUUUUUAAACCAAAAUAAAAGUAAAAUGAUAACUAGCAGAUGACAUAAGAACACUAAAAGCAUAUGAAUAGAGAAGUGAAUAUGCUAAUUAUAAGAGCUGGCUAUUACAAUUCUUAUGAUUAACAAUCACGUUUUGUUUUAUUCAAUUUGACUUUUAAUGUUUAGCACCUGCUUUGUGCUGUUAAUUUUGUUAGUCCUUAGAAGAGGUUACUGUCUAUAUAGAGAAACAGAGAUAUAAAUAUAUUAUUUAAAUACAAAAUGGUAAGUGCUGUGACAGUACAAAGAAAAUAACCUUUGCCCAUUGUAUGUGUAUAAAGGGGUAGAUGUGUGUGUGUGGGGGGGGAUCUUACAUGAAAGUUUUCUGGAAAAGAAGAUUACUGAAUCGAACCUUUAGGCACAGGUGAUAAUCAGCUAGGCAAUAAAUAGGGAAUGGAUAUUCUGGUAAGGGACAACAUGAUGGAAAGGUAAUGCAUAAAACCACGUGGUGUGUACAGGGAGCUAAAAGAGUAAGUACAGGAGAAAAUGGGAGGUGGUUGGGAGAUGAGGCUAGAGAGGUCAAUAGGGAUCAGGUAAUCUUGUCCUUAUAUGCUUGUAUUUUAAUUUGGAGAUACCUUGAAGGUUUUAAAACAGGAGAGUCCUAUGAUUAGAUUUGUUAUAUAAAUUCUACUCUUGCAGCUGUGCAGAGGAUGGAUUGAAGGGGGGAAAGACCGUAGGCAGACAAAUCAGCUAGACUAACACUCCAGAAAUCCAGGAUAAUGAGGAAGAGAUACAUUUCCAAUAUAUUUUUUACUUCAAGCCUUAACGGUCUUAGGAAAUACACUGGCUGGUGCUAGUAAGAUUGACAAAAAUGGAAACAUGAGGGUUACUUUAUUAUGAUCAAAAAGGAGGAAAUAUUAUUUCUACAAGAGGUAUGUUUUUUACAAACUACAUUUUUAAAAAUUAUUUCUCUGCUUCUUAGGUCCGUGCUUCUCAAACUUUUGUCUGCAUAGGGAUCACUUGGAGAUUUUGUUAAAAUUAGAUUCUGAUUCAGUAUGUUUGGAAUGGGGCCCCAAAUUCCACAUUUCUAACAGGGUUAUGAUGCUUUAUGCUCUUGUCCUGAAGUCCAUACUUUGAGUAGCAAGGAUUUAGAGCUUAUUCAGUAUUGUGAUUAUUGUGGCACCAACAAUAAUUUUAUAAUAAAUGCAAAGAUGUGCCUUAUAUGAUUGUUUUCUGUGAAUGGGCUUUGGCUUGCAUUCAUGUGUGUAUGAAAAAAAGAGACAGAGAGAAGGGAUUUAAAACACUUGGAGUAGUGAAGGAAUAGUGUCCCUUAGAUUUGAGGUCUUCAAAUUUGUAUAUGAUUGUUUGCCAAGGUUGCACAUAGUUGAUUUUGAAGGAAUCUAAGUCCUCAGUUUCCAUAGUCUGUCCUAAAAUUGGUCCUCCUGUGAAAGACAGUGAAAGCAGCUUUUCCUUUCCUAACUCCCCUUUCAGAAUUGCUCUUGACUCAUGUUACAACAAGCAAGGCAGACUUCUCGCCCCUCCCAGAUCUUCUCAUUGUACACUUCUCCAGGAUGGAAAAUUCCCUUGCAUCAUGAUAGCAGAGGAUUAGCUAGAAGUAUUGGUAUUGGUAUUGGUAUUGAAAAAGUGAAUGACCUAAACUCAAGGUAAAAAAUCCUUUUGCAACUCAUAUGGUUUCUAAUUCUUCGGUUUCAACAGACUUAAGGGAGAUGUAAUUGAGUUAACAGCUGAUAGUUUUCACACAUCAAAUAUUUUUAAUAAGCUAUGUGAUUUUGAAGGAUUUAGUAACAUUGCCAUAACAAAACAUCCUUCUCAUCUACUUAGUGAACAGUUUCAGUUCUUUCAUAAACAGAGAAAAUAAAAAAUAGAAAAAAAAUGUAUGUGAAACCUUAUACUAGCAAUGAGUAACAUUCAUUCAGAGGCCUAUAAACUAUUUUAAAAAAGAAAAAAAUCUAGCCCUUCUCAUUAAGAAAUACAUUUCCAUAUAUUUCUUAGUUUGAACAUUACAGUUUUAGAAAAUUAAACACAAUUUAAAAGUUCAAUUUUAAGGUACAUUUUUAUUGAAGAGAAGUAUGAUAGAGGAUCAGUUAAAAACUUUUAGAAAUAAAAACGAUUACAUUAGGGUAAAAUCCUAUGGGGAGAUAACUGGAAAUGAGUUUAAGCAAAAAAGUGUGUAUAAAUUUUCUAACUCUUGAAUUUUUUUUUGAUAAAAUGGUUGCUGGUGUAUAUCAGAUUACUGUGGAAGUUAGAUUUCUUUGGUACUCUUAAAAGACUGGUAUAACAGUUUUAUAUAAAAAUGGCAGUAUUUGUAACAUGCUAGAAAUUAUAGCCUUUGCAAUCAUUUAAAUUCAUGAUGAAAAUUUUUACAUGUCAACUGAAAAUGUAUGUUGUGUAUUUUUAGAAAAUUCUUUUAGGAAUAUGAGAGAAAAAAAAUGAAGACUAUUGUUUUAGAGCUUCCUUUUUAGAACCUAACUUUCUUCAACAAACCAUUUUGUAAAAUGUAGAUGAGAAAAAGAAUUGAGAUAAUACCUACUGAAAGGUUAUUAUCUUGUUAGUAAUGAAGAGUAGUUUCCUAGGUUUUGGAUGCCUGACAUACAGGUUAUGAUAAAGCUGAACUUCUGUUAUCAAAGAUGAGUGGCCUGGACAGCUCUCUUAGUUGAACACUUUUUUUAUGGAAAGCUACUAGUAUCCCUAGGCAGCACCAGCAUUUUCCUGAAGGGAAAUCUUUGGAUCAACAUAGUCCCUUGAACAAGUAAAUGUUUUGUUGAGUUUCGAUAGAACAAGACAGAUAUAAUUUGGCAAGGAAAAAUUUUAUGUUGGAGUUUAUUAAUUGCUUGCUUUAAGAAUACUCAGUUAUGCUGCAACUGCUACUAUAGAAAGUAUAACUCUGAAUAGUGAGUUAGCUAAAAUAUACUCCCAGAUAAUUGAAUUAGUAAGUGUAUAUAAUUAUAUAUAAAUUACUCUCUAUAAUCCUGCACAAUUAAAUCUUCAAGAAUGCUUGCAAAAUGCAACAAUUUUAGUUUUGAUAUGCAUAACGUUGAGUUUGUUGUAAUGGUAGCAGUGAGAAUAAUAGGGAACAGAUGCCCACACAGUUAAUAAGUUAUGAAACUGGUAUUUAAACCCAUGUGUUCAAUGCCAUGUUAUUUCUACUACAGCAAUAGGAAGGCUGCCUAGCAUUUUGUACAUAUAGAAAAUUGGCUAUAUUUAAAUAUAGUUUAUUGUUUACUAUUAAUAAAAGGAAUCCUGGCAUUGUUACAGGAUUUCACUAGUUUAUUUAUGGUUCAUUAAACUCUUAAAAAUUUAGGACCCUAAAGAGCUUCUGUUCUGUGGGUUAGUUUCAUCAAUAUUUAGCAUAUUGGAAAUUAAGAUUGAGAAAAUUUAAAAUAUAUAUUCAUCAUUUAAAAAUAAAAAUAUUUAUUAUGUAUCAACAUAAAUACGACAGUUUUAUGAAAAAUAACUAUAUAUUUCAAAACAAAAAUAUUUAGUGAGAAGAGGGCACUAUUUUACUUUUGCUUUGUUCUUUGUUUUUUUGAAACAAGGUAUCGCUCUGUCGCCCAGGCUAUAGUGCAGCAGCAUAAUCAUAGCUCACUGCAGCCUUGACUUCCUGGGCUCAAGUGAUUCUCCUGCCUCAGCAUCCCAAGUAUCUGGGACUAUAGAUAUGUGCCACCAUGCUUGACUAAUUUUUUUAUUUUUUGUAGAGAUGAGGUCUUGCUAUGUUGCCCAGGCUGGUCUCAAACUCCUGGGUUCAAGCAAUCCUUCUACCUCAGCUUCCAAAAGUGCUGGGAUUACAGGCAAGAGCCACUGUGCCCCAGGCCUGUUUUAGAUUUUCAUAAAUCUCUUCAAUAUCUGGCCGAAUACAAACAGGUGGAUUCUCAUAUCUGCUUUUGCAUUCAAUAUGUUGUGUAAUGUUAUUUGAUUUGGAGUAUGUAUGAAAACAAUCUUCCCUCACACAGGUAUGUACUUGGGAAAGGGAGGCCUUAUGGACCCCCUGCAAGGUUCAUGGGGACCAUCAGAGUGGCGUCUUCAGAGCACACUAUGGGGACACUGCUUUAAAAUAUUAUCAAAAGUGUUACAUUUUAAUAAUUAGUAUGCAUGUAAUAAAAUGGAAAUCUAGUUUUUGCAUAUGUAUUAUGUUGAUGUCUGUAUUUGAUUUUAGCUCCAUGUAUUAUGGAGGACUUUCCCUUACUUUUGGAUUUGUAAUGACAUUAUGGCGAAAUUGUAAUCACAUUAUGGCGAAAUUGUAAUCAGAAACCAAAACCAUUUUUUAAAAUUUAUGGAGUGGAUUAGAGUAUAAAUUUCAACAGGAUAGGAAUUGUGAACAGAUGUUAUACUGAAAAACCAAUAGAAAAGAAAUUCAAAUAGGUUAUUAUUAAUUUAGUAAUUAUAAUAGUAUGAAAUAAUUCUGUACUCCAAGAGAACAUUUAUCCCAUUAAUUCUUUAAAAAAUCAAGAUCCUUAACCAUCUAUUUAUCUUUCACCAUCUUUCCCACCCUCCCUCCACCUACUUCUUGCAUUUAUUUCCUCUUCUUUAACAUUCAUUCAAUAAAUAUUUAUUGGACUCUUUAUCAGUUAGGGUAACCACUAGCUUAUGUAACAAAGAGAUUAAAAAAUGCAUAAUGGUUCAAACACAAUGAAAGUUUAUUUCUUGCUUAACAACCAAUGAGCAUGUUUCUGCUUGGAGUAGUGGCUGCUCAUUUUAUAGGUGGCUAAGGAAGCUGCAAUUUCUGUGGUGUUUAUGAACCUGGAGAGGCCGGGCACGGUGACUUACGUCUGUAAUUCCAGCACUUUGGGAGGCUGAGGCAGGUGGGUUACUUGGGGUCAGGAGUUCCAGACCAGAUGGGCCAAUAUGGUGAAACCCCGUCUCUACUAAAAAUACAAAAAUUAGCCAGGAGUGGUGGCGGGUGCCUAUAAUCCCAGCUACUCAGGAGGCUGAGGCAGGAGAAUCUGUUGAACCUGGGAGGUGGAAGUUGCAGUGAGCUGAGAUUAUGCCACUGCACUCCAGCCUGGGUGACAGAGAGAGACUCUGUCUCAUUAAAACAAACAAACAAACAAAAACCUGGAGAAUUAGGAGGCCACCUCACAUGGAUGCCCUGGCCCUAGCUUUUGUUUUCAUGAAAGUAGAGUUUGGACAUUCAGAUCUACGUUGCAGAAAAAUCAAAUUUUUGUAUCACUGACCUUGCCAGUAAAAACAGCAGAGGCAACAGCAGCCAGCCUCUGUCUCACCGUGUUAACCUUGCCUUCCAAAGUAAUGCCAGUGUAUCGGCUUGGCAAGAGCUAGGUGAUGUGCCAACAUCUAACUGUCAGGAAGUCUAGGAAAUAAACUUUAGCUUUCUAGCUUAGCUUUUGUUCUAGCUAUCUAACUUAGCGUGCAUGAAAGAACACAACUGAAAUGGAGUUGAGUACACUAAUCUGCACACCUAGGAAAAAGAUCUAAAAUGAAAUAUAAUAGUAUGUCGACAAUGAUUAUCUCUGGCUAAAUCACAGCACCUUCUCCUUCCUUUACUAUCUUGAUUUCUGUCCCUUGUUAAUUUUCAUCAGUCUAAAAGAGACUUUCUCCCAUUUCCAGUUGUCUCCCUUGGUUGCUAUAACAGCAUAAGAUCAACAAUGAGAACGGUCAUAUUGGUGAUUUCUGGCAGCCAUGGGAAGACUUUACUUUUAGUGCAAAAACUAUAGAAAUUUCACCCAUGCAUAAUUCUUUUGGGGGUGGGGUUGUCUGGUGAAUUGGUUAAGGGAGCCUUUCAGUGCAACUAUAUGUGUGUUGAAAUAUGUCAAUCUUGAUUAUUCUUGCUUUGCUGCCUGGUGUGGAUACUUUGGGGUUUCUGACUUCUAAUUGAGCUUAGGCAUUAUGGUAACCAAAGAUUAUUGUGUUAGGGAAGAAGCCAAGAUAAUCACAAGAUAAUGUGAUUUUUUUUCCUUAGGUAGGUCAGAAUCAGUCACUUUUGUCUUGUUAUGCAUUGCUGCUUACUGAAGAUUCUAUAUAAUACAUGAUGGCAAAAGAUGCUUUCAUUAACGUUUCGGGGUUGCCUAAGUAACAAGUGGAAUAAAUGAUUUAUCCUCAGUUCCUGGUUAUAUCCUGGUCAUUGAGGAGCUGAGAAUAGAGGGUAGUAAGAUAAUGCAUCUGAGGCUGUGGGGUAGGUGAGGAAACGUGAAAGAGUAGUCCAGAAAGGAAGGGAAAUCUAAACAUACUAGAUGUCAGCAAAUCAAAUAGUUCAUUCUAGAGUGUGAGGCACCCAGAGGGUAUAGCAAAAACAAGCCAAAUGAUUAUGUACUCUGAAUCUAAAAAGUGAAUGGUUGACAGCCCAGUACAAAGAUUGGGUUUCUACUCUGAGAUAGGGUAUCAAAAGAGUCCAGAAUGCCCUAGGGUGAAAACCUUGGCUUGCUGUGGCUUGCAGAAAUCAGAGUAUGGGAGUGUGAUGGGUGUGGUGUAGGAGGCAUUAUAGCAGUAAUUCCAAAGCUGGCUAGUGCCCUUGGGUUACUUUCAGUUUCCAUGCUCAUGGGAAGAUUGGCAUGCCCCACAUGGUUAAAAGUACCAGAUAGAAAUGGAUAAGUAUAUAUAUAUAUAAUUUCUUCAUGAUGACUCAUGUUGCUUAGGGCUAAGAGAGUACUUCCUUUUAAAAAUGCAUUGCUUACUUCAUUAAAACCAGUUUGAUAGAUUUGAUUAUUUUAUUCUGUUUAAUAAAAAUAUUUAGACAUAAUAACUAGAGCUCAUGAAUGUUCCCAGCUAUAUAAAUGAAAAAACAAAGUGCAACAUUCAGACAAAACAAGUUAAUUCAGGUGACACUGUUCUAAGUUGUAAAAGGACAGACCAGCAUCUGAAGGGUUUUUAAUGUGGCAAUUAAACAUGGUUAGGGGGCUAUGUAAAUUAGCAUGGUUUUAACUGCAUUUAUGGUCAUCUUAAUCUGAUAUGGCUGACUUAAUUUCAUGGUCAUUUGAGGAUAGUUAAUUCUACUUUAUAGUUGCUUACCAGGAAAGUAUACCUCAUGCUGUGUGGUGAGGUUUUGUAAAUGAAUUUAAAGAAAAUUGUUAUUGUUGGAAAAAAAAUUCAUUGUUUAAGCAUCAUCUAAAGUUGCUGCCUCUAAGGGAUCAUUGCUGCAUGGUAUUUAAAAAUAGGUUUUAAAUGAGUUUUAUAUCUUGACGGUUUGAAAAGAACAACACAGAUGUGUGUAUUUAGCCAAAAAACUUUAAAUGCUACAGUGGGCCAGUCUGUGUCCACAUUCCUUCUUGAAGUGGUUAGUGAUUAAUCCUAGGGCAAAGAUGAGUUUGUAGUUUAUAAAGUACUGUACCAGUUGAUAGUAAUCUUGUAGCUUGCAUAUAUGUGCUUUUUUUUUGAGACAGAGUUUCACUCUUGUUGCCCAGGCUGGAGUGCAAUGGCACCAUCUCGGGCUCACUGCAACCUCCUGGUUCAAGCGCUUCUCCUGCCUCAGCCUCCUGAGUAGUUGGAAUUACAGGCACCCACCACAACGCCUGGCUAAUUUUUGUAUUUUUAGUGGAGAUAGGGUUUCACCGUGUUGGCCAGGCUAGUCUUGAACUCUUGACCUUAGGUGAUCCGCCUACCUCAGCCUCCCAAAGUGCAGGGAUUACAGGCAUGAGCCACUGAGCCCAGCCUAUAUAUGCUUUUAAAAUCUUAUGAAUAAAAAUAACUAUAAAAUUGUCAAUUCUUUCUUUUUUUAAAAACCAGUUUUAUUUCAGUUUAUCUGGAAAGUUAACUUUAUAGCAUUGUUUAUAUGAGAAUUCUUCUAAAACUUUUCAGUGCUACACUAAAAAGCGUACAAUUGGGAUUUAACGUUGAAUAAGGGGUUGCAGUCAUUCCUCUGUAUCUGUGAGGGACUGGUCUAGGACCUCCCUUGAUACCAGAAUCCGAGGAUGCUCAAAUCCCUGAUAUAACAUAGUGUAGUAUUUGCUUAUAACCUAUGUAGAUCCUUUCUUAUACUUAAAGUCACCUCUAGAUUACAUAUAUUUCCUAAUAGAAUGUAAAUACUAUAUAAAUAGUUAUUAUACUAUAUUGUUUGGGGGAUAAUGACAAGAACAAAAAGUCUAUACAUGUUAAGAGAUGCAAAUUUUUUUUUGAAUAUUUUCAAUCCUUGGUUGCUUGAAUCCACAGAUGAGGAACCCAUGGAUACAGUGGGCCAACUGCAUCUGAACAUGUUGAAUGAGUCAAAUUUACUAGCCUAAAAGGAAUCUGAGUCUGUUAAUCUACUUUAUAGCUGAUUGUAUUUUAUUCAAUAUGAAGUUUUCUGUGUAUAUAUAUAUGGUGUAUGUUUAAUUUUCUAAAUUUAAAUUUAAUGUUUAAAUUAAAUAAAAUAGAAAAUUAGUUUAAUUUUCUAAAUUCUGCCUAUGUGGAACCCCAUGUCGCUUAAUUAUUGCCCUUUGGAGUUUGUUUUUCAGAUAAUCAUAUACUCAUGAAAGCAAAUAUUUUAAGAAUCAUUAAGUUUUCUAACAGAAUUAGACUUUGUAUUUUCAGAUACAUGUAAUUAAAGACCUAUUGGGAGGAAAAUAACUUAAAGAGCACUAUUAAUAAAGCUUAAACACAAACCUUUGAAAUAUGAAGCAAAAUCAAAAUAGACUAAUUGUAUGUUCUCCUUAGUUAAAAAAAUAGCUUCAAAUAUGUUUGGAUCAUUGCUCAGAGAGUAGAAAAUAAAUUACAUUUGAUAUAGAGGUGAACAUUUAAAAGAUUACUCAUGAACAACAUUUCUGUACAUCUUAUGAGUGACCAGAAGGUUUUUCUAUUCUAUUUUUUCCCUGUUUUUUUAUUGUUUUUCUGUUUUGAGUAGAAGUUUUCAAAAUUGCUCUUAAAACUGGUGGGUAUUUAUGAGAAUAACUGAAGAAGAGAAAUUUUGAAAAAAUAUCUGAAAUUACUAAUUAAGAGGAUAUACACAGAUUCUAUACAUUAAGUAAUAAAGCCCAAUAUUACAAUUUACAUUGAAGAAGUUUUGAAGAGUAAUAACACUUUUUAUUUAUACAGUAUCUGGUUAAAGAUUUAUAGUGUAUAAAUUGCUAAUUUUCAUAAUUAAUUUAUAUAAGAAAAAUAUUUCACCAAACUGAUGUCAUGCAUUAGUAUUAUUAUGUACAUUAUAUUUUUAACUUUUAAAAAUUUAUUCAUUUUGAUUUUUAAAAAAUUCGAUGUACAUUGUAAAAAAUAAAGGAACUUUUAAGAAGAAAAUUUAAUUUCACUUUUCACAGGCAACCAUUGUUCUUUAUAUUCAAUAAAAACUGUCAGUUUUAGAGUACUGUAUUAUAAAUUGGACAUUCAUAAAAGUUAUUCAUGGAUGCUGCUGCUAAAGAUUACCUUGGGAAAAACUAAAUUCAUUAGUACGUUUCCCCAGUAGUAUCCUUUUCAGAUCCUUCACUUUCUCUUUAUUCUCUAAUAUUUUAUUCUAGUACCUAUAUAGCUGUGUUUAUUCUAUUGAGAUUAGGGUCCAGGAUAGGGUAGGGAUUUAACUUUUUGUCGAAUGAAUGGCGUAUCUUCAUUUUUCAGAACUUCUUGUAUUUCCUUUGGUUAAAUUUUAUAGUUGUCUUCAUAUAAACUUUGCACAUUCCUUCUUAGGUUUAUUUCUAGGUUUUCCAUAUUUUUUUGUUAUUGUUAAAAAAUAUUCUUUCCAAUAAGUCUUCCAGUUGCUUAUUUCUGUGUAUAAGAAGGCCAUUAAUGUUGAUCUUGAUUCCAACCAUAUUUCAAAAUAUUCUUAUUUAUAUUUUUAAGUUUAUUGUCUGUGUGUUUCUAGGUAGUCAUAUUAUUCAAAAUAACACAUUUUCUUUCUUUUUUUUUUAAAGCCUUAUACAUCUCAAUUUUUUUUCUUUGUUGACUAGAACCUCUCGUCCCUCUUGACUUUCAUGGGCAUCCUUCUGAUAUUUAUCAUUUAAUGUAAUAUUUCCCUUAGGCUCCUCAUAUGUUAUCAAAUAAGAUUUUUCCUGUCUAUUUCCAGUUGGUCAAGAGCUUUAUUUUCGUUGUCGGUUGCUGUUUGUUUACCUUAGGUGGAAAUUAGAUUUUCAAGUACUUUGGCCUUUGAUACUAGGUAUCAAUAAAGAUGGUAAUAUAUAUGUUCUCUAUUUAUCUGUUAAUGUGGUAAAUAUGUUACCUUAAUAGGUAUCUUUAAAUUUACCUGUCUUACAUUCCUGGAUUAAAUCUUAUUUGGUCAUAUUUUUAACUAUUCAGCUGGAUUUAUCAAGAUUUUAUUUGGAAAAUUUGUACCUAUAUUUAUAAAUAAGGUUCUGUAGUUUUUUCCUGAUGUCUUUUUUCAUUUUUUGGUAUCAGAGUUAUUCUGUCCCCAUUUUUCCUAAAUAUAAAGCUUGAUGUUCUACUCUUUAUUGAUUUUACAUUCUCUCUGAGUAAUAUCUGGUCUUACCACUUCAAUUAUAUGUCUCCUUAUACCAUUUUAUCACCUAAUAUUCUGUCAGAGGACCCUAUGUAGGCAGCUAUGGUUGAUAUUUCAAAUGUUUUCAGAAGACACAGAAGAAGGAGAAAGAAGAAAUAUGUGGAUAAAACCAGUGUUUUCUAUUCAUAACUUAUGUAACAUAUAUAGCUGACUAUGUUUAUGGUGUCUAUCAUAAAAAUGUAUAAAGAUAGUCUUUUGAUAUAUUAAGUUGUAUAUUCUGAGAAAGUCCUUUUUUGUGUAUGUGUAUAUUUAUGUAUAUAUGUAGUCUGUAUAUGUUUUCAAUACCCAUAGCCCUUUUCCCACUGAACUGGACGGAACCUUAUUGCCAUUACAAUGUUUUUUCAGAGAAGAGUGUUAAUGCAAUAAAGAAAAGUUAAGUUUCUUUUUUCUGAGUUCUAAGUAGGCUCCUGAAACUUCUAGUUGGCUUAAUAAUCUUGACACACAAGAUAGUGUAUUUCAAGCAGCUGAGCUAUAUGAAAUAGAAAAGGGUUUUGAGUUUUUAAAAUAAAGCUCUGAAGAUAUCAGUGCAUAAAUUUAUUUUUAUUUUAACUUUUAACAACAGAUUGGAAAGAAAUUAGCCAAAGAGUGAGAUGAUCUCAUCACAUUAUUAAAUAAGUGUUGCCUUGGUUAGAAGGGGAGUUGAAACAAGGUUCAGGAGACAUGGCAGCCCUGUGUUCUGCCUUUCUUUCCUCUACAGCCUGAGACCAGGGAUAAUGAUAGAAGCUCCCUUUAGUUGAAGAUUUGAGCAUUGGAGAUUUGUGCUUCACUCUCCAGGUGAAAGCCAGGGGAUGGCAAGCGUUAUCUAAGGCCCCUGUCUGAUGAUAGUGUGCUGGUGGCAGAGUUGGAAUGGCUGCACAGCCUGCUUCUUCUGGAAUUUUGUGAAGCAACAAUGUCAUGGGUGUGUCCCAUAUUGAAUGACAUGGUAUCACUUAGAUGGAGAUGGUUAACUAUAUGAGAGAAGUCUGUAGAUAAAGCAGGUAGAAGAUAGUUAGCAGGCUCCUAUGGGCCCAGGAAGGCAGUUGAGACUUCAUGCACUUUUGGGCAGAACAAGGGAGCUGGAUGCAAGACCAGUGCUUUAAAGGACCUCACAGUAAUGUUGAGAAGAAGCCAGGAAUGGUAGUAUGGAAUACAUGAUUAGAGUCUACUAAGACUACAGAUAGUUCACUGAAAACCCGAUCACACAAAUGCUGUGACUAGAGACUUGACAGGUGCCAAAUCAGAGUGCUACAGGUCCAAUGCCUCUCACCGAUACCAUGCGGCUGCUGUGUGAACUUCCCUCACCACGUAACCCUCACCUUAGGGAAGAGAAGGAUGAGAAGUCAUGAAUUCUUAAGAUGAGCAUAUGCAGAAAUUACUGAGGAAAAUCAGAAUGAUGUAAGCUUAUCUAGAAAUGACUAGAUUAUGUUUUCUGAUACUUGGUGCUACAGAAGCAUGAGAGAGAGGAGGUAAGUUCUAUUGCAGAAAACAGUAUGACCAGGCACAGUGGCUCAUGCCUAUAAUCUCAGUACUUUAGAAGGUUGAGGCACAAUGAUUACUCAAGGCCAGGAGUUUUAGAUCAGCCUGGUCAACACAGUGAUACCCCAUCUCUAUCAAAAAAAAAAAAAAAAAAAAAGUUAGUUGUGCAUGGUGGCAUGUACCUGCAUUACCCAGCUACUUGGGAGGCUAAGCCAGGGGAUUGCUUGAACCCAGGAGUUCAGGGCUGCAGUGGGCUAUAAUUGUGUCUUUGUCAUCUUUGUACUAUGUUUAUAAGGUUUUCUUAAAAAAUACUUCUCCCAUAUCCUGUCAAGCAUUACCAUUCCUGUAGGUUUUAUAAUGCUUCUGAUGUUUGUGUCCAUGAUUCCAAACAUCUGGCUAAUUGACUGCAUUUAUACCUUUUACACAUAUGUCUUGGUUUUAUGUAUAUAUUUGUUGUGUUAAUGGGAAGCAUACUGAUAUAAAAUGCAACUGGAAAAAGUAGUACAGAAAAAGGAAAUAUUCUCUGUCAAGUGCCAUUCUGUUGAAACUGAUGUUUAAGUAGAUGAACAUCUUUUUCACUGAGAAGUUGUAACCAAAUCAGAUUCAGCUGCAUGUUAAUAUAUCAAACAGGAAAAAUUAAAGUACUGUGUAGCAGCUGUCUUGAAAUAUGCAGGUUGAAAAAAUUUAAAGUGAUAUGCAUUGGAUAUAUGAUACAACAUUUAUGAAAUUGAGAUGGACAAUAUGUCUGCACUUUCUUAUUUCAAAUACAUUGCUUGAAGUUUAACAGAAUGAUCAUGUAAUUAGAUAACAAAGUACAGUGAGUGGGUGCCUUUUGUUUUUGGAAUCACAUUAUAGCCACUUAUUUAACAAUUUUUAUCUGUAGCACUCAUUUGAAAUUUACAUAUGUCAGAAAGGAAUAGGUUUUAUCAGAUAUGAAAGAACUUGAUGAUAAAAUGAUGUUGGUGAUGAAUUGCUCCUGUAGCUGGCUAUCAUCAGGAAUUGGGAGUUACACAGUGCAGUGUAAGUAAAAAAGAUGGGCCGGGUGCGGUGGCUCACACCUGUAAUCCCAGAACUUUGGGAGGCUGAGGUGGGCAGAUCACGAGGUCAGGAGUUCAAGACCAGCCUGGUCAACAUGGUGAAACCCCGUCUCUACUAAAAAUACAAAAAUUAGCUGGGCGUGGUGGCACGCGUCUGUAAUCUCAGCUACUCGAGAGGCUGAGGCAGGAGAAUCGCUUGAACCCAGGAGGCGGAGGUUGCGGUGAGCAGAGAUUGCGCCACUGCACUCCAGCCUGGGUGACAGAGCAAGACUCCGUCUCAAAAAUAAAUAAAUAAAUAAAUAAAAUAAAAAUGCUCCCCUCAUUCAUUUUGAUUUAAUGGGUUGGUAUAGAAUGCAAGAUAUUUUUCCCAGUGUACACGCAAUAGCGAAUUGAGCAAAAAAUGUAUUAAGUAAGCUUUUUACUUUCACAUCAAAAUCAAUACCAGCCUGUUGUUGAAAAUUUUAAGAUUAUGAUUUCUUCAUCAAUUUGCAUUGUACUUUCAUCUCUUACUGUGUAAUAGUUGGCCAUCUACCCUAAUAAUACUAAAUGCAAUGAUUGAAAAUGCAUAGUCUAUUUUUCAUCUAAUUCAUCAUCCCCAACAAUUACAGUAUUCACGGUUUUGGUCUAAGUGGAAACUUUGUAAGGAAAUUAGGGUAAUGUGGCCUCUAACACAAUUAAAAAUAGAUACAAAAGAUGAGAGGUCAAAGUCCUCAUGGUGACUAUGAAUAAACUAUUAAAUGUUAUGGAUUAUUUUUGGAAGAGGUGUUAGAGUCUCUUUUCCUAUAGUAUAAAAUACUCUAUAGAAAGGAAGUGAAAAGUUGAUAUUCUAUGGUGAGGUCAAGCUGAAACCUUCUCUGAAUCAAUACACGACUUCAGAUAAAAGCUGCUAUUGUGGCUAUGAUUAUUUAUGAAGAAUGAUCAUAUAAAAUGCAGAUAAUUAUUAUAUGCCUAGACCCCCCUAUCUGAGGAAGGAAUAUUGUAACAUUACAGUGUGUUGAACACCUACUGUGUACUGCUUUAGGAUCUGGGGACACUAAGAUGGCCCUGUUCAAUGAGUUCAUAGCCUAACAAUUUAUAAUAAUAUACACUAAUAUUUAAAAAAUAAAGAUAAGUCCAACUAUAUAUAUAUAUAUAUAUGUAUAUAUGCAAGCUUGAUGAUAUGUAAUAUAGUUUAUUAUUUUAAUAGUUAACAUCAGGAUUCCUUUUAAGAAGGGAACAUCUGGGCCAGGUGUGGUGGCUCACGCCUAUAAUCCCAGCACUUUGGGAGGCUGAGGCAGGUGGAUCACGAGGUCAGGAUUUCGAGACCAGCCUGGCCAACAUGGUGAAACCCCCUCUCUACUAAAAAUACAAAAAUUAGCCUGGCAUGGUGGCGUGCACGUGUAAUCCAAGCUACUUGGGAGGGUGAGGCAGGAGAAUCCCUUGAAAGCAGAAGAUGGAGGUUGCAGUGAGCUGAGAUCGCACCACUGCACUCCAGUCUAGGCAAUAAGAGCUAAACUCCGUCUCAAAAAAAAAAAAAAGGACCAUCUUUGUUUUGAUAAAUAAAGUAAUGAGCUCACAUGCAGUAGAUGAGAGCCAUGAUAUUGGGUGUGGGUCGGGGACUCUUAUUCUACAUCAGAGAAGAGACAUUUAUUUUGACUAGAACAGGGAGAGGGCUCCUGAGAGACAAUAGGAGAGGAAGUCAAGCUAGAAGGCUGGAUUGGGCCUCAUGAUUUGGCCCUACUAAGAGAAGCCAUGUAUUUUCUUUGGCCUCCCCUUCCUUUCCUUUCUUUCAGUGGCUGUUUUAUCUAGCUCUUGUCUCUCUUUAAAGCAGGGACUUCAUUCUACUCCCCUUGCUGGUACCACCUGACUACCCUUCUUCCUCUACAGGCAUUCUUAGUGAAUGAACUGUUGCAUAGUUAAGGCUCCUAGGGCUUCAUGAAAGCCAAGAAAUAUUUAUUUGCCUUAUUGAAGUUUAGAGGGAGAAGCUGACUUUUAUCAUUUGAAAUUUAAAGAGAAAGGCACCUGAUGUAAAUUAACUGGGUUGCAUUUGGUUAAACUUUGCUCAAAAAUUUAAAACUAUUUUUUGCUGUCUCACUUUUUUUUCCAUAGUGAGGUAUAUUGCAUCCCACUUGCCUGUAAAAUUCUUGGGGGAGUGGAAACAAUGUUUCAUGCAUUUUGGUUACCAUCCCAAUGCCUAACAUAGCAGCUGCUCAACAUAGGUGCUCCUUCAUAUUUGUUAAAUAAUUUAUUGUUAUUAACAUUAGCCAUAAUUUUAUUUAAUUUGUUAUUUUGCCAAUAUUUUAGUGAAAAAUGGAAUUGAAGUAGCAAUCCUAUGUUCUGAUUCUGGUAAUUAGAGCUCUGGGAGACUCCUCGUAGGUAAUGUAGUUUGAGCUCUGAAAUCAUUUUUUUCCUCAUGGCAAACAAUUAAAAUUUCAGGAAAACUAUGUCUGGAAAUAAAACAGCCUCUGAUGUGUUCUGCAUGCAAGCUGAAGCUUAUAAAGUAUUAACCAGUACACACAGAACUCAGUCUACUUGGGAAGGAAAUAAAUACUUGAAAGGAUUUUUGAUGAAGAAAAUAUUUCUUUGCUAGUCUAAAAUCUUUCCAGGAAAGUCCUUAGGAGCUUAUGAGAUACACAUAAGAUGGACAGAAGAAGUCAUAUUCAUUGCUUUCAGAUACCAGAACCCUUGGAUGUCAGAGUCAGCUAAUAUGUAAAUGGCACAGGUUCAUUUUGUACCAGGAGAGCAUCGAGGGACCUAUGAGAUAUAUUUUAAUGCUAUCUUAACAGUUUCUAAAGACUAUCACACAAGUCUAGUUCUAUAAAUGAUACUAAUAAUACCAUUGGGAGUAUUUUAAAAACGUUUGGAAGCAAUGAUCUUAUUCGUAGGGCAGACUCAUGUUAACUGUUUGCUAUUAGGACAAUUUUGCAGGUUUUCUUUAUUUGUUAUUCUCAAAAACUGCAUCAUUUGGUUUCUAACAUACUGAAAUGGAGAAGGAAGUGUAUUAGAGUAUAGUUAGAUGGACCGAAAACUGGCUCAGUCUUUUUAAGAAAACAUGAACAUCUACUGUGUUUUAGGGAGUGGAUGAGAAUUUAGCAUUAAACAAAAUGUGACCUAGUUGGAGAGACGUAUUUAUGAAGAUAAAAUCUUCUCAUAUAAAGAUUUUAUAUAAGCACUUUAGAAGUAUUUCAUCUUCAUAAAUACUUUGAUAGAACUUUUUUUUUAUUAUACUUUAAGUUCUAGGGUACAUGUGCACAAUGUGCAGGUUUGUUACGUAUGUAUACAUGUGCCAUGUUGGUGUGCUGCACCCAUCAACUCAUCAUUUACAUUAGGUCUAUCUCCUAAUGCUAUCCCUCCCCCCUCCCCCCACCCCACGACAGGCUCCAGUGUGUGAUGUUCCCCACCCUGUGUCCAAGUGUUCUCAUUGUUCAGUUCCCACCUAUGAGUGAGAACAUGCAGUAUUUGGUUUUCUGUCCUUGCGAUAGUUUGCUCAGAGUGAUGGUUUCCAGCUGCAUCCAUGUCCCUACAAAGGACAUGAACUCAUCCUUUUUUUUAUGGCUGCAUAGUAUUCCAUGGUGUAUAUGUGCCACAUUUUCUUAAUCCAGUCUUGAUAGAACUUUUUAAAAUAAAAUUUUCUGUGAGAGAUAAAUUUCAUUUAUGAAAGAGGAAAGGUGGGGAACUAUGUCACAGAUGACACACAAUGGAAUUGGGCCUUGAAAGAUUGAGUAGAAGCUCAUUGCAGGAAUGGCUUUUCUUUUGUCCCUUUCUCUCCUGUUUUUUUCAUAUAUUCUAAAUCUGAUAAUCAUACUCAAGCCCAACCCUCUACUCCCCAACCUCCUUGGAGCUGAUCUCAGGUGAUUGGGAAAUAUGAACACCGGAGAGAGGCUUCCUCUCUGUAGCCAUCCUUCCCUCUUUCCUACUGUUCCUCUUAGUCCUGCUUGAAGCUUAUUCUUGUGCUCUUAGCCUGUUUCUCUGGUUAUCCAUUCUCUCUUCUGCCCUGGCUUGGUUUCUGCUCAAGUAGUCAGGUCAGGAGUUAGGGUAGGGGCUUUGGAGCAAAACAUGAGUUUAAUUCCUGACCUUGUCCCUUGGAGACUGGUUUCGUCCACUUCUUAAUCGUUUUUACCUUCAACCCCUCCCUGUCUUCUGGCAUUUCUCUUUCAAACUCUAACUUGCUUGUGUACCCAUAAAAAUAAGUCACUUCCCUCCUCUGGCCCUUACAUCCUCUCUGCUUUCCUUCUUAACCAAGCUUCUUUAAAAGGCUAGACUACCCUGCUGACACUCCAUAUUCUUCAAUCUAUUGCUAUCUGUAUGCCUGUCACAUACCUCAAGCCCAUCACAUUCAGAACAAAAUUCUUCUUCCUCAAGCCAGCCUUUCUGCCUCUGUUCUCUCUGAGUUUAUUCAUUCACCUAAGCAGAGACUUGGCAGUCGUUCUAGACUGCCUUUUCCCACCUCUCUUCUUUUUUUUCCUUCUUCUCCUUAUCAAUCACAUUAGUGAUUAGUGAACAUUUCUUAUGAGACAGAGACUUUUUAAACCCUCUGCCAUCUAUUAUCACAGUUAAUUUUGCCAGCAUCUCUAUGAGUUAGGUGCUCUUGUGCCUAUGUCACAGUUACAGAAACCAAAGUAUAGCUUCAUUCACACAAAUUAAAGUGGUGUAGCUGGAAUUUAAAGCCCAGAGUCUGACCAGAGCCACAUUCUAAGUCACUGCUAUACCACAGCUUACAAAUCUAAAGCAUCACCAAGUACUGUCAGUUCUGCUUUUAAAAAUCUCUCUUGAAUUCAUAAAUAUUGUUCCAUCUACACACCUGUAAUCUAGUCAGCUUCUUGUCUUGGCUCACCUCAGAGCUAUAAGCUCUCAGUCUCUAGUGUGGCUUUCUGUUUAUCUGUCCAUGUAUACUUCCAGAGGGAUCUUUUAAAAUACCAUAGUGAAAGUAUAAAUUUUAUCACUUAAAAAACUCAGUGGGCCUGUAAGUGUGAGGUAAGUUCACACUUUUUCCUGGAUCAUUUGGAAGGCUCCAUCCAAACUACUUGGAGAAAAAUGUAGUUGGUAUGUUGAUUGCAUAGAUAGUUUGAAUAUAUGAGUCAGCUUACAUAUUGAAUAACAGAUUCUGGAUCUAACAGAUGCUCAGUAGUGUCUCUUACCCCCUUCUCUCCUCUGCUCUGCUUAGGUCUCUCCUGAAAUAGCCCAGGACAAGGGUUAGGGCAUAGUGGAGUCAACAUGGGUUCAAUUCCUGACUUUGUUACUCCCAAUAUAGCCUCUAGCAAGUAUUUCUAUUUCUGUAAUCCUCAGUAUCUUCAUUUAUAAGUUGGUGAUUAUAAUGUCUUCCAUAUUAGGCUUUACUGAAAUAAGACAUACAAAGCACUUACUACAUAUGAUGGUUCUUAUCGUUGACUUAGUGUAUUUGUCUUUGAUCAUUGAAAUAUAGCAAUGACAACAUAUUUAGAAGAGAGUGGUUAGGUAAUUGAAAUAACCCAAUGUUAUGUCUUGCAGUAAUGGUUGAAAUUGAAUAAGCUAUAGCUAUUUAAUCUGAAGACAAGAAAACUGAGGCAAGAGGAUAUGCAAUAGCUGCUUCCAAGUAUUUGUGGAGAUGUGGAAGAUGAAUUCAGUUUAUUCUCUUGGCUCUAAGGAGCAUAGCCACAUGGGUGUAUAUUAAAGAGUUUAGGUAGGUUUUUCACUCAAUAUGAAGAAUUCCAUAACAGAGCUGCCUUAAAAUGACCUGGACAGUAUAGCAGCUAUUUUGGUGGAGGCCUGAUGUUCACCAGUCAGGAUUGUCAAAUGGGACAUUAGUACUUUGAAUACAGAGCUAGACUUGUUAGCCACUAGCCAGAAUCCCACUAGAUAAUCUCCAUUGCACUAGCCUCCUCUGAUGUUCUAUGAGUCAACUCAGUUUUUGCAUAUCAUGUUAUUUUCAAGCAUAUUCCACCUGGACCAUUUACAGAUCACAGUUUCUGUGGUAACCAAUUCCUGUAAUAUGUUGCAGUCCUCAAAUAAUCAAAUACCAUACAUUAUUUCUUCUUCUGUAUUUGCAUGCUGUCUUUUAUAUUUCCCCAAAGUGUUAAAUCUGGCCUUUAGGAAUCAACAUCCUGUAAACCCCAGGAGACAGUCCAAUGUGUGCAACAUAGGGCUUAUUGCAAACAGCUGCUUAUUGCAGAGUGGUGGGUAGCAAAUUGUGCCUCAGGUGACCAAGAGGAAAUGAACCUGAUCAUGUUGAGCUUUCUAAUGAAGCACAACUAAAAUAGUUUGAUGUAAAAAUCUGUCUACUUGGAAUUUUUACUUGACCUCAAAUUAGUAAUAUUACACAUUUAGUAAUAUUAGAUUUGCCCAGGAGUGAUAAAGGAAUUUAUUGAAUCUUAAAAUGUGGAUAAUGUUUUAUGUGAUAUUAUAUGAAAUUUCCAGUUUUCAUUCUUAAUAAAUCUGUUCAAUAAAACUCUAAGGAAAACUGUAUGUGAGUUACUCAGGGUUUAUCUUUACUACUACCUCUGCCCUGUCAGUUUUACUACUGUUAUACCCGAGUUGAGUCCCUGGGUUUCUGGGACUUAAAUGUUGUUUUGCCUCAUAUUCUCCUCCAGAGAUUUAUCACUGUGGCCUCUUCCUGGUGCCUUUAGGUGCCACUUCAUUUUCAGAACUUUGUCGACUUGUUCUCUCUUAUUAAAAUUCUCCAGUGUUUUAUCUUCUUUUCCUCCAUUCUCCUGUUUGUCCUUCCUAAGGUAACAGCGAUCUACUUUUAAAAACUCAGCUAUAUUGAUACAUGUUAAUACAUGACUUAAUCUCAGGUAACUUAUGUAUGAACGGUAGUGUUCAAAACAGAAGGCAUUUAUCCAUCUCUACUGAUGGGUGUUAGGCUGUUGAAGGUGAAAUUUAGAGAAAAUAAGAACCUUGUGUUCACAUCAAAAUAGUCUGCAUAUAUUACACCUAUAGACAGCUUCCCUGCCUUUUUGCUUCCUUCCUAAAUCAUUUUUAGUCUUUCUACUGUAUGCCAGACAUGGCUCUAUCUAUUGGGAAUAUGCUGAAGAACAAAGAAGGAAAGAUCAGUGAAUGGGUAAUAGAGAAAAACAGGAAUACAGAUUGAGAGUUCAGUUUAGAUAUGGUGUCCAAGGAAAGUCUAUUUCAAGAGGUAUUACAUUGAAACUGAAGGAAGAAAAGGAAGCAGGCAUACACAAAGUGAAGGGAAGAAUGUGCUAGCCAGAAUGAACAGCAUGUAUAAAGGUUCUGAGGUGGAAAAAACUUGGCAUGUUGCAAGAUCUGGAGGAGGCCAUGUGGCUGGAGCUUUACUAGGACAAAGCUGGUGGAGGUAUGUUUGGAGAGGUCAGUAGAAAUCAGAUCAUUAAUAGGAUGGUAGGAAGUCAUUGAGAGAGAUUUUAAGUAAAGUGACUUCUAUUUAUAGUUUGACAGCUCUAUAUUAAAAUAAAUUGGAUGGGGCAAGAAUGGAAAUAAUGCAUUUAGAGGUCUAAGAGAGGGGAAGUGGAUUACUGUGAGUAUAGAAAAAAUGGAGAUAAGUGGUCAGAUUCAAAAUAUCCCUUUGCAGGUUCAUACCGAGACUUUUUGGGUUGUAUGGGAAAUAGCGUUUCAGGGAGAGAGAAGAAACAAUGACCACGAUCAGUUUUCUGUUUUGAUCAGUAAAUGAUGGUUGUACCACAAAAUGGGGUGGUGAAGGUUCCUCACUUUACAGAAGAGGAAAAUAAAGCUUGAAGAGUUUAUGGUGAUCACAAGGUUACUUUCUGUUUCACCCUGCCUUUUCAAAUGUAAAUGAACACCUAGACCAUCAAAUUCUCUGUGCAGGAAAUACAUUUUUAUUCUAUGUUAUGUCUCAAGGACUCAGCAUGGGGCUGGCAUUGAUAUCUUUCACUCAUGUAUUAAAAAGAUACUGAGUUUACUAAGUGCCAUUGUAUAUAGAGCAGGGACACAGAGAAAUGGUCCCUCUCUUGCUGAUAGUGGAGAAGACGGGACAUUACACACUAUGUGGUUGCUGAAGGAGUGAAGCACUGGGUGCGCCGGGAGCCAGGAAAGGAUUCUGGGUGAAUGUCAUGUCUCAGCUGAAUAGUGAAGGCCGAGUGGAAGUUAGAAAGGACAGGAUAUAGUGUGGUAGGCAGAGGUGAUAGCUUGUGAUUAGAGCCAGAAUCUGAAAAGCUCAGAAGAGGAGUUGAAGUUGGAUCCCUGUAGUUGAAGAGUUUAGUUCAGAGAGACUAGAGAAAGGAAAAGUCACAGAAGUGAGCAGGGCAUGUUAUAAUACUCCAAGAGCCAUUUUAAGAACUUAGAUAUAAUGUUGUGGUAGACAGGGGGCCAUUUAUGAUUUUUAGAAGAGGCAUGACUUGAUACAAUUAACAUUUAACAAAGAUCCUUGUAAUUGUAGUGUGAAUAAUAGAUUGGAAAGGGAUACAACCACUCAAUAAAUAUUUGUUGAUAAUAUUCUGCAAAAGUCUAGUAUGCAUAAUAGGUAGUUGCAAGGAUUUUCAGCUUGGUUAGGUUUAAUCAAUGAGACUGUUUGAAACUACCAGGGAGUGGUAUAAACAGGUCCUCACUGAAUCUUAUUGCUACUUUAUUCUGUUAUUUAAAUUUUUAGGCAAUUUGAGUUUAGCAUAUACAUGGUUUGUUUUGGUAGUUUGCUGGGGUUUUGCAUAACUUUUAUGUUAGAAGGGUGUUAAAUUUUAAAGAAAUCAUAUAACUUUUUAGAGAUUCGUGUAUCUUUGAAAGAGUGAAUACUUACUACUACAAAAAUUUUAAGCUAGCUAGAAUUACAGUGAAAGUUGACAUAUUUAAAAUACUUCUAGACAAUGCUCGUUGAAUAAUGAACAGAAAAUUAUAUAUAAUUAUAUUUGCGUAAUUAUAAUAGCAUUUUUAAGAUCAAUAAGAUAAUACAGAGAAAUUCAAAUGUCAGUUUAUUACCAGUGUAAAAUUGUAUAUGACCUUUAUUCUUUUUUUUUGAGAUGGAGUCUCACUCUGUCGCCAGACUGGAGUGCAGUGUUGAGAUCUCGGCUCACUGCAACCUCCAACUCCCUGGUUCAAGGGAUUCUCCUACCUCAGCCUCCUGAGUAGCUGGGAUUACAGGCACGUGCCACCACGCCCAGCUAAUUUUUGUAUUUUUAGUAGAGACAGGGUUUCACCAUGUUGACCAGGAUGGUCUCGAUCUCCUGACCUCUUGAUCUGCUCACCUCGGCCUCCCAAGGUGCUGGGAUUACAGGCGUGAGCCACUGUGCCCAGCCAACCUUUGUUCUUUGUAUUUUGUAUAUAUGCAAAAAAGAUUUUAUAAAAAUAUAAUAUUUUAGUAUAUAUUGAAAACUCCCAAUUGACAAAUUUAAGUUCUGGAAGUUUUCUAUAAGUCAAAUCUAACCUUCCUCCCAAAUACAAAAGUUAUUUCUCCUCUACAAUCCAGUAUCAAAUCUCUCUUUUAAUAUUGUCUUUUAAAAUAUUUUGGUUACUUAAAGUUCUUUCUUAAAUACCUGUCUUGGCCUGUUUUGUGCCGCUAUAACAGCCUACCUGAGACUGGGUAAUUUAUAAUGAAUAGAAAUUUAUUGGCUCAUGGUUCUAGAGUCUGGGAAGUCUAAGAUUGAGCAGCUGGCAUCUGGUGAGGGCCAUCUUGCUGUUUCAUCUUGUGGUGGAAGAGCAAAAAGAAGUCAAAAGAGGGUGAGAGAUCAAACACACAGCCUCAAACUCUUUUGUAAUUAGUGUGAAUCUCCGCAUAAAGGUGGAGCCUGCAUGACCUAAACACCUCCCAUUAGGCCUCACCUUUCAACCCUGUUGCAUUGGGAUUAAGUUUCUAAAACUUGCUUUUUGGAAGACACGUUCAGACCAUAGCAAUAUUGAACUAAUUUCUUCCUUUGAAAAAUCUGCCUUUUUGGUUCUAGCUCUAUCCUCUGUGGUUUCAAGGAUAUGUUUAAAUAUUUCAUAUGUUAUCAAGGCUAAUUAUUUAUAAAGAUUUAUGCAGGAGCAUUUACCAUGGGAAUGGUUUUAAUUUAGAUCAUAAUGAAAUAGUUAUUUCAAGCCAGUUUCCUUUCUGUAUUUAUAUAUGUUUAGGUGUGUUAAGACUGGAUUGAAAGUCUCAUUUGGUGUAUAUAUACACGUACAAAUUCAUAUGUAUGUAACUAUGUUUUUUUAAACAUUGAUUGCAGUUUACAUCAUUUAUUCAUAUAUUCAUUCAUUAUGUUUGCUGAGUAUUUUCUGUUUCCCUCCAUUAGAAUGCAAGAGACAGGUGCCUAGAACAGUGGCUCAUAGUAAAUAUUUGUUAAAUGAAUAAAAUUGAUUUAAUAUCUUGAGAACUUUUCUGUGUGAUGUAUUGGCUACCAGAAUUAUCACUGAGAGGUUAGGUUGUAUUAAAGAUUGAUUACACAGCUGAUUAGUAGACGAAUUAUUACUAGAAUCCAAUUAUUCUCAAUAUUGCUCUGCUGAAUUCAUUGCUGCAGAAUGUAAUCUUUGAAAAAUUCUAACAUAUACUUAAUAUUUUUGGUGAAAAUUAAAAAUUGAAGUAUAUCAUACAAACAGAAAUGUGCACACAUCUUGAAAGUACAGCUUGAUGAACUUUUCCAGAGUAUUGGUCCAUGUAAUUAUCACACUGAUCAAUAUCGAUAAAGAACAUUUCCUCCCUCAUGUGACCUUCCUGUCUUUACCCAGAUGACUUUUGUCUCCAUAGGUUAGAUUUGCCAGAAGUGUGUAUUAAUCAAAAGCGUACUUAUAGUAAGUACUCUUUUGUGCCUGACUUCUUUCACUGACCAUUGUGCAGGUGAGGUUCAUUCCUGCUAUUUAUAACAGAAGUUCAAUGUUUUUUUGCUAUGUAGUAUUCCUUUGUAAGACUGUUCUAUGAUUUAUGUUUCCAUCCUCUUGUUAAUAGACAUUUGGGUUGUUUCCAGUUUUUGGCUAUUACAAAUGCUUGAACUUUCCUGUACAUUUGUGAAUUUCUCUUUGGUAUAAAUCUAGGAGUGGACUUCCUGGGACCUAGGAUAUGUACAUACAUGUUCUGCCCUAGGAGAUACAGCUAAAGAAUUCUCCAAAGUGGUUCUAUUAUGUUCUAUAUUUGAAAGUAUGGUGGACAUUAGAGAUGUGUUUUGAGGAAAUAGGGAUCAUAUUGGCUGAAAACAUACACAGUCUUAAUUCUUAAAGAAUCUAAAUAGGAUAUAAUUACUUUGUUUUUUAAGAACAACUAGAAUAACAUCUUUUAUAUUUUUCUGUUUAUCCCAGCUUUUCCUUUGACAUAGGAAAAAGUUGAAUGGAUGUAUUAUCAGGCUGUCAUCUCUUUGAAGUACAAAGAAGUCUGUAACAGAACAAAAAAUGUCAAAUAUUCAGGGAUCAUAUUGAAUUACUAUAGAUAUAUUUGUUGCCCAAUAAUAAUGAUUCUUUUUGCACUGUGUAUGCUACAAAACUUGAAGUCAGGAAAAAGGAACUUUCGGAUUUCAGUUCAUUUGAUACCCAAUAACUUUUUUUUUCUAUUUUUUCCACAUGUACUAGAGUUUCUUGAUUAUGUUUAAUAUGUUACAGUGAAUUGUUUCUAGAGUAUUCUGUAUAUAGAAUGGUAGUAUCAGUGAUCUACAAAGAAUUGAUAUUUCUUUGACAACUAUAAUUUGCCUGAGAAUCCCAACUAGCACUCUGGGGGGCUAUGUGCAGUUCUUAAACCAUGUGUUUUGGAACAUAGCAUCCUUAUUUGAUAUGGCUUUUGAAUGCUAUUUUAGCCUCAGUUCCUUUCAGUAUGGUGUUUGGAAGGUAUUUUGAUAUAUUACAGAAGGCUAACUAGUCAAUUUUCACCAAAAUUCUUUUACUAUGCAAGUAUAGGUACAGAAUAAAAAGUUGAGUUGAAGUCUUUGAAUGAGAUAGAGGACUGAAAACAUUACUAGCUUUUGUAUCUUUGUUUCAUGUUCAAUUGUACUGAAUAGUUUUUAUCUAGUUGAGAGGAGUGGUGUAGUUUGUUUAAUUACUCCUCCUUACUUCCAGUUUUUUCAGUCACUAUUUCUGCAAUUUUGAUUGGUUAAACUCUUUACUUCACUGUGUCUUAGUUGCUUCAUCUGUAAAAUGCGGUGUAGGGCUAAGCUGGUUCUUCCUAGAGCUAAUGUCAAGGUGUAUGUUCUAUAUAUUUAUGUAGGGUAUUAGGUGUAUAUUAAUAAAGAACAACUUACAUGGGCCUCUCUUUUUUUUUAAUUCUUCUUAAUUGCAAGUGGAAGGAAUUAUUUCAGAGAGAAAUACUCUCUCUUUUCAGAGAGAAUAACUAUCUUCCCUUUACUUAGCUUCAUGGCUGGUGCUAAAUGAACCAGGGAGGAGAGAGAUCUGCUGAAUCAUGGCAUUGAAUUUGAUGUUCUAAGCAUUAUAAUUUCUGAUGAAUAGUCUCAAGAGGCUUCUGCAAAAUGAUACAUUCUGACAUCCAGUGACCUUUUAAACUAAUAUUUCUAUUAUAUAAUUCAGUUGCUUCUGUUUCCUGAAAGUAAUAACAUUAGUUUGUACUGAGGUAGAUAAUGAUUUUGUUAGCAAUUUCCUUUGUGGUAAGUGUUUUUACAGUAAUUUAGUUUGAAGGAAGAAUCGUUUGUACAAAUAAAAUCCAGAGGAGCUCACUUGUAGUGUACUGGGAUCAAGAAAAAAGGUAGUUAUUGACUCCUGGGACAAUAUUCUUGAGACUCAGGAUAAAUAGUUGUAUUGACAGAAUUUAUUUUUGGUGAAGCUUGUUGCCAACUGCAAAUCUUAAGCAUGUGCACAUGCAUGCAAUAUUGGGGCAAAGGGACAAGAAUGUGGAAUUCCUGCUAAUUCUUUCUAUUGCUAGUUCUUUCUCAUUAAUGGAUAAAAAUUACAAACCUAGAUUUCUUUAUUCACAAGACAAUAAUACCUCACAGAGUAUAUAGUAAGUGUUAGUGAAAUGAUAAUCAGAGGCAUAUACUACAGUGUCUGGCUAAAUGAUGCUAGAUAAGGAUCAACAAUUUUUAUUUCCUUCAUGUGUGCUUUUUGUGCUAUAAGAUCCUAAACUAACUCCCAAGUAGGUAAAGCAAUUUAUUUUUCAUAAACUUGUACUAUUAAGUGUACUUAUUAUAUAUGAUUGUUUGAUUUAUGGCAUAUCCAUUAAUUAUUUUUACCAAUGUAGUUUAUUAUUGAGAAUACCUAGUCCCCAUUUAUGCAAUAACAAUUUACUGUAACUAGAAUGACAGGGGUGGGGGUAGAUGGUUGAACUUUAAUGUUCUUAUCUAAAAUAUUGAGAUUCAUAGCAAAAAAAGGGGGGGAGGAACGUGCUAAGGAGAAAAAAAAUAGCAAUAGCAUUUCUUUCCUUCACAGUUUGCUUCUAUUCUUUAAUCACACAUAACUUCUACACAUCUUUCCUACAAACACUCUCCUCUGUUAAACUGAUCUCAUCUUUGCCCUACAGUUAUCAUCUCUGCCACUGUGCAUUUGACUGCAGAACUUUCUCUUCUCUACCAUAGUUGAGGUCCUGCCUCCUCCAUGAAGUGCUUUCACUGUGCUUCUGCCCUUGCCUUCUUCCUUUGUCUCACUCUGUUCUCUGUCUCACCUACUUGCCACCUUUCACAAGUUGCCCUGAAUCGUAAUCUAUCCUUUUAUGUGUGUUUUAACUCUCCAACUGGAUUAUGUGCAGAGGCAGUCCUUUUUAUUUCUUUGUAUCUCUGGUAAACCUCAUAGAGGCCUUCACAUGACAGAUUUUUAGUGAAUGUUUGUUGAUGCUGUUGCUGGUUUUGCUUCUGCUAAUGUUGAUGGAAAAGAAGGAAAAUCUAAUCCUGAAUGUAUGGUACUUAGUUUUUCUGUUUGCCUUGGGUAACUAAGACACUCUAGGUUUAACUAAUUUGAGGUCAGACUUGGUUCACCUUGCUGAAUGGUUGAUUCAUUUAUUUGUCAGCCUACCUGCCCAUUCAACUGUCCAUACAUCUGCCCAUGUAUGGUACUUAGUUUCUCUGUUUACCUUGGGUAACUAAGACACUCUAGGUUUAACUAAUUUGAGGUCAGACUUGGCUCAUCUUGCUGAAUGGUUGAUUCUUUUAUUUGUCAGCCUACCUGCCCAUUCAACUGUCCAUCCAUCUGCCCAUUCAUUGGUCCAUUUCAUCCAUCCAUCCAUCCAUCCAUCCAUCCAUCCAUCCAUCCAUCCAUCCUUCCAUCCAAAUAACUUAAUUAAUACCUUCAGUUAGAUACUGCAAAAUAUGUGCUGGGAGCCAUGGAAGAUAGAAAAAAAGUAAUUAAUGGGGUGAUUAUGGCAUAAUUUCUAUUAUUGGCUAUUCUUAAAUAAUUUUUAUAUCUUCAAAUAACUUUAAAAGAUAGGCAAAUCAAUAUCUAUUUGUGUUUCUAAGUUAAAAUAAACUAUUUAGUGUAUUACUUUUUAUAAUUCUCUGCUUUUUUUAAAAAAAGAAAACCCAGACAUUUCAUUUAGCUGACAGCUGUGGAUGUUCGUUGCAUUAGAUAGAUUUUUUAUCUUAAUAUAGAAAUCUUACUGAACCAAGAAAGUUUUGCAGAAUUUCUGAAGGCCGAAUAUUCAGACUUAAAUAAUAACAAUGUAGGCUUGCUUUUCAUUAACUUGAUUAAAAUUUAAAGUUGGAGUUGAGAAAAGAUUGGAACAAUUGACAUUAAAUAUAUAUGAUGCUUAUGAAUCUGUGUUUGGCACUAUUUUCACUUAUUUGGUUUACCUUAUCAAGACUAGUUUCUGUUAAGCCACUUUACCUUAUUCAGUAUAAAUAAGACUGAGUACCAAAAUUCUAAAAAAAAAAAAAAGUCUACUUCUGAGAAAGGCAACUUGAUUAAUCAAUAAUGUAAACAUGAAUUCAUUUUGGGUAAAAUUAAUUUAGCAGAAAGAUCUGAUCAAUACUAUAAAAUAAGUGUGCUUUAUUAUGAAGAUAAUUGAAGAGAGAACUUUCAUUGAGAAAGAGCAAGAAAUUAUAUAACAAAAUAGGCAGAAUGAAACAUGAAUGCAUGAAUAUGAAAGAGAACUUAUUAGAAACUGUGGAAUUGAAAAAUGUAAUUGAAAUUAAAACACUACUGUAGACAAGAUAAACUCUAGAAAAUUUACUGUUAGAGAUAAUUUUUAAGCUGAAAGAUAGUAUUGAGAGAUCCACCCCAAAUCAAAGAUAGAUAAAACAUAUAAAAAUAUGGUUGAGACUACAAGUUAGGUUGAGAAGUGUCAUCAUAACUAAAAGUAUCUAAAACAUUUUAAACACAUAAUAUUUUUAUUUCUUUAUCUUCCAUUCACUUUAAAAUAAGGCCUGGUGUGGUGGCUCACACCUGUAAUCCCAGCACUUUGGGAGGCUGAGGUGGGUGGGUUGCUUGAGCUCAGGAGUUCAAGACCAGCCUGGGCAACAUAGUGGGACCCUGUCUCUACAAAAAACUUAAAAAAAAAAAAAAUAGCCGGCCUGGCGGCACACACCUGUAGUCUCAGCUAGUUGGGGGGCUGAGGCAGGAGGAUUUCUUCCUGGGAGUUUGAGGCUGCAGUGAGCCAACAUUGUGCCUCUGCCCUCCAGCCUGGAUGACACAGUGAGAUCCCUUCUCAAACAACAACAAAAACUUAAGAUGAAAUUAAGUAUACUUGAAACCAUUUUUUUGACAAAACAAUUUAAACAUCAAGUAAGUAUCUAUUGAUGUACAAAGUACAAGAACGUUCUUACCCUUUUUAGCCAAGAGCAAUUCCUACCCCAUAGGUAAUUAUUAUUCAUUUGAUGUAUAUCAUCCCAGAUAACUUUAUUCCUGUGUAUUUCCAUGAAAUUAUAUACAUACAUGUAGAAAUAUAUACUUUCCUGCUGUUUUAUAAGAAGGAUCAAACUUGUGCAUAUUACACACCUUUAAACGAUUUACAAUAAAUGUCAUCAUGUCACAAUAAAUGUUAGAGAACUUUCCAUGUUGUUUAUGUAGCUCAAACUCAUUCUUUUAAAGUGUCCUGUUGUGUUCUUUGAUAUGUGUAUUUCCUAGUCUUUUUAGUAAUUUUCUUACUGAUGGACAUUUAGGCUGUUUCUACUUACUGCUGCUAUAAACAGCAUUUCAAUAAACUUUCUCGUAUUUCUUAAGUUAUUAGUGAUCUUGGAGAUAUCUUCAUGUUCUCAUGUUUAUUUCACCUGUAAAUUUCACGUUGAUAACUUUUACCUAUUUUUAUUUUGAGUUGUUCUAUAUAAUAUUAACCUUUCAUCUUUGUGCUGUAGAUAUUUCCUCCCUGUCCAUUUGCCAUUUAGCUUUGUUAUAUUUCCACUCUUUAGACAUUUUACAUUUCAUGUUGUCUGGCUGACUUUUUUGGGACUCUCCAGGCUUAUAAUAACAGAGAGAUAUUUGGUAGUCAUCCUCAUAUCUGUUACUAUUUAAAGGGAUGCAUCCAUUUCAUCAAAUAUGGUUUUAAAUAUGUAAGAUCUGUUCCAAAGAGAAGGUGAGGGAGGCUGAAACCUAGCUCUAGUUUGUAUCUUUUCUAUAAAGAAAAGUUUUUUUAGGUCUCUUUUUCUGUCUCCUCUGCUUCUUAUGCCAGUGUUAAGGUUUAGAUUCCAGAAGAGCAUCGGUAAGUGUGAAUCUCAGCUGAGCUUAUGGGACUUGGCCUAUAAACUGCUCCUGCUACAGAUUCAAAGACCAAUGAAAGCUUCUUGUUAGAGCUCUCUGUGGAAUGAUUAACAGUAUAAGAGUGAUAUGCCUCAAGAAAGAAGAGAUGUGUCUCAAAUUUCUGAAUUCCAUCGUUACCUGACUGAUAUUACCCCGAAUCAACCUUUCUCUUGUUUUUUUCUGUGUACUGAGAGACGUUAGGAAAAGUGAGGGAAAUGGAAGAAAUACAAGUGAAGGUUUAAAAAACAAUAAUUUUAGUAGUCUGGUAUUAUCUUACAUACUUGGGCAAUCAGUGCCAUCAACUUCUAGGGAGCUAAAUUCCCUGGAAGUCUUUUGCACUGCCAGGACCAAGUUGAAAAAAGGAUGAGAACCUAGAGCAUACCUGGGGACUGUUUCUUUAGUCAUGCAUGUAUGAAAUGCCAUGUUAUACAAAUUAGCUUAUUACCCUGAAUGCCUUUAUGAGCUGGGAAUUUAAUUCUUUUUUAUUUUUAAAAUUUCAUUGAUAGAAAUGUUAAGGCUAUGAAUUUUUCUCUGACCAUUGCUUUAAAAAUACUUGAUCAACCUAAGUGCCAAUCAACUGAUGCAUGCAUAAAGAAAAUGUGGUAUAUAUACCCAGUGGAAUAUUAUUCUGCCAUAAAAAAGAAUGAAAUCCUAUCAUGUACAGCAACGUGGAUGAAACAGAAGGCCGUUUUGUUAAGUGAAAUAA